rnacentral:lncRNA from 1 species
GUUAAGGGUUUAAGUAAAUAAAGGGCAUUUUCAAUAAAUCAAAGUAAGCAGAUGAGCCUAAAAAGGAAACUCAUGUACUGCAAUUCCGGCACGAGACAGAGCGUAAAACGCACUCGCCGCAAAAUCCAAAACGCCCGUUUGCUACCCGGCUUGUAGCAGGAAAAAAGGAGUAGAAUUGAACUUGUCGAUACACGUAAUCUUGUGAGCUGCCUAGCGUUUGGAGACUAUGCUGACUCUCCUGUAAAAUUAAUCUUGGCUGAAUUGGAUUCUUAGGCAUUGGCGUCUUGGUGAGUUAAAGUUGCAGUUUCCGACGAGUAACAUUGGUUAGUGAACUCUUGUGUGUAUGUGUGGGUGAAGCUUUGAGCUAAGCAAGUCCUCAAUGUACCGACUAUCAAGUCAUAUUGUAAUCAACAUCAGAUAUGAACGAAAAAUUGUUGGCCUGAAUUUGUGCAGAGCAUUUGAGUAACUUUCUGUAUAUAUGUUUGUUGUAUGCAUCUAUGACUAUGACUUAUUAAAACAUUCUGCUGCUCUAGUCGGAAAAGGGUGUGUACUGAGGCACCGAUCCAAUAGAACUCAGCUCUGAUUUCCCAAUACUUCGUUUGAGUGGUGAAGCACAGAACCAUGUUUUUGACAGUUAAUGGUUAGAAGAUUUUUUUGGUUUGAGAUACUGUAAUCUGAAUUUGUUGGCCUGAAUCUGUGCAGAGCAUGAGUAAUCUUUUUGUAUCGAUUUAUUCUUGUAUACUUCUAUGGCUUCUUAAAACAUUCCGUUGUUCUGGUUGGAGAAGUGUGUACCCGAGGAACGAUCCAAUGGAUUGACCUUUGGUGUCACAAUACUUCCUUUGAGUCGUGAUGCACAUAACCAUGUUUGGGACAGUUAUCGGUUAGAAGAUUUUUUGGUUUGAGAUACAUCAGUCUACUUGUCAAGAAUGUGAACUCUUGUGCGUGUGUUGGUGAAGCUUUGAGCUAAGCAAGUCCUCAAUGUACCAAAUAUCAAGUUGUAGUGUGAUCAAUUUCAGAUACGAAGUAACUUUCUGUAUAUAUGUUUGUUGUAGAAGAUUUGUUGGUUUGAGAAUGUGGAAAAGUUUGCAAUGCAUCAUACUGCACCUAUUUGACAAAUAGGUUUGGCUUUUCUCAGAUCAUGUUAGCUUUUCACAGAAUUACAUUUUCAGACUCCCUGCUCUUGCACCACUGGGCAUGUGAACUGGCAUGUUCAUCGCUCCAAGUAUCUAUCUCGUGAUACUAUCAUCGGUCCUGUUAUUGGUCUCCUCAUUUCUUUCUUGAGUAUUCCUUCCCACAUCAACUCAUCCAGCGCUGGAACUGGCAUGUUCUCUGAUGUAAGUCCCCUGAGGAGCUGCUCCAAGCAAGACAGCAAGCAUGGCGUUAUCAAUCUCACCUCAUCGAGAUGGCUCGUGGACGGGACUAUGCUCAAGCGAUGCAAAUCCACGGAUGAGUGCUCGGGUGAUCGAAGCAGAGGAAGAAAUCAUCAGCAGUGCAAGCUUCUUGGUGGUAGUCUUACAUCAGAGAAGAUGAAGCAGAGGAAGCAGGGUCGCUAGUGCUAGUUGCAAGUGUGUAGUAGCAGUAUUUCACUGGCAUGUUUUUCAGUAGUGCGAGUGAAUUUGGCCAUCAAUUAACUGGUGUCCAUUAUGAUCACAAUUGAUCUAUUAAUGCAAGGGAUUGUUCUAUGUAAAAGCAUUGGAUCUAAUGUAUGCAAGUAGCACUAGAUCUCAUUCUAUGUUUUCAAUCUGUUGUAGUAGUAGGUUUCUUAUGUAAAAGCAUUGGAUGUGAUGAUCCCACCAAGAAUAUCACUUCUGUGCUUGAACUACUAUUCCAGAUGACUUCUAUUUUCCUGGAGAAGAACAGAUAUGUGUGCUUGCUGAACUCCUGAAUCCUGAUGCAGAAUUUACUUGUCGCAUCAGAUCUCUUUCUAUGUUUUCGGUCUGUUGUAUGCAAGCAUAGGAUCUGAUGGAUGCAAGCACACCAGGAAGAUCACUUCUGUGCUUAAACUACUAUUCCAGAUGACUGCUAUUUUCCUGGAGAAGAACAGAUAUGUUGUCUGAAUUUUACACCUCGACAAUGCAGAAUUUAUUUGUCACAUCAGGAAGGCGCCAAAAAAGCAUGUUUCAUUCAGUACAAUUGGUGUAUAUGCUAUUUUCCUGGAGAAGAACAGAUAUGUUAUCUGAAUUUUGCAACUUCUGCAAAUUUCAUUCAGUACAAUUGGUAUAUAUGCCAGACUAGUUUCUCCGCUUCAUCAUAAGUGGUUUGAUCCGAAAACAACUAUUGGUCCUAUUAUCUACUACAUCCAGAAUAGUGAUCUCGGAAUCUCACCUGGAUCAAUCAAGUUUCUGAGAUCAUAGAUGGCAAACCAACACUUGUGAACCAUCAUACUCAGCUCGACAAACAGCAAUCACAGAGUUCAAGAGUUAAGACCUGUAGUUGCACAUACUUGCACAAGAUUACAUCAGUAUUCACUGUGCUCCUGAUGGAAGAUUAUAUGUGUGUACCAUCCCCAAUAGCAAUCAGAAGCCAUUAUCCCCAAAAUUGCAACCUGUCAUGUUGGAUUACCAGGGCCAUAGGCGUUUCACAUUUUCUUUCUGAUUUUAGCACCCCGCAAAAUGAACUCAAUGCUACAAGCAGGCAGUCUAGAUUUCUUAUACUGGCAGCAAGGCUUUAUGCAAGGAAAACUCGAUUGUUUCUGAGGACAUAGUCACAUAUGCAAUGUAUCACACUGCAAUUCUGAACAUAAAUAUCUAUGAAUUUGGUGGCUUGCACUAAUACUUAACCCAUAUCUAUGAAUUUGGAUUCACACUGCAAUUCCAUUAGCAUCCAAUGCACUGAAAAAUAUUUCAGGCCUGGCGUAUGUGGAAGGACAGAAGGCUGCACGAGGUCCUAGAUCGAUCGGUGGGGAACGAAUACGAAAUCGCCGAGAGCGAACCAGCGAACGUUUUUGUUUUCGUUCGCUGGGGAGCUCGCGAUCGAGCGACCCAGCCACAGAAGCCCCUUUAGCUCCCCCCUUCGGCUUCCGGGCCUCCAGGCCCAAUUACAAUUUUCUUUUGUACGCAAAAGAACAUGUAAAAGAUAUUUGAAAAAAAUAUACACUUCCCUCUAGACGAAAACAGAGAAAACAAAAUUAUAAGAAUGCCAUGAUCUGAAAAUAAUUGAAAAUUUCCAUACUGUAAAAAAAAGAGAACAUUUUUUCCAUAGACCAAAAAAAUGCCAUCUCUUAAAAUGCCAAGAUAAAAAAUGCCAUCUCUUAAUGAACAAAAAAAUGCCAUCUCUUAUAAUUAAAAUGUCAUCUCUUAAUAAAAAAAUGCUAUCUCUUGAUAAUAUAAAAACGUCAUUUCUUAAUUAUAAAAUCCCAUCUCUUAAUAAGAAAAAUGUCAUCUCUUAAAAAAUACCAUCUCUUAAUAAAAAAAAAGUCAUAUCUUAAAUAAAAACAUGACAUCUCUUAAUAAAAAAAUGCCAACUCUUAAAUAAACAAAAAUGCCAUUGCUUAAUAAAAAAAUGAUAUCUCUUAUAAUAAAUGCCACGUGACAUAGUUUGAAAAUUUAUAAACUGCCAUGUUGAUUUUUCCUAGAGAAAAUGCCAUCUAGUAAAAAAAAGGAAAAAAAUGGGGUACCGGGAUUCAAACCCAGGUGACCAGGUGGAGGUUUGCGCUGCUAGCCAGUGCGCUGGCUCUAGUGCUUUGAAAUAUAGUUCGCUGGCAUUUUUCUUAUAGCGAACUGUUUUGGAAAUCCCGUGUGGCUAGGAUCCUGUGCCAGGAUUCGCGCAAAUGAAUCCGAUGGCAGAUAUGGGGGUCGCUGCAAAAUUUGUCAUAGCUGACAGUCGCCAGCUAACGUUUUCAAAAUUAUUUGCUUUACCUUCAUUAUUUGUAACUCGUAAGCCCUAUCUGAACCUGACAGCUUUAGGACCUGUUUGCAUGUCGAUGACGAUGGGGCAAAUACAAUUGGAUGAAGGAAUGUUCCUGAGAGCUACUAACUGGUUUGUUCAAUCAAGCACUUAUAGUUUCUACAAGUACUUUACAGGCUUUUAGAUAAUUGUUGUCUGGUCUGGAGCCAUGAACACUAGUAUAUCAAACAGUGUGCAUACACCAAUAAUUAUGGAGAUACCUAGUGAAUUACUAUAGAUGAGUUGAGCCAAGCAUCACAAAAGCUGGAGACUGCUUAUUGCAACAUCUUUAACAAGAUCCACUGGUUCCCGACAUCCCUAUGAAGUCUGGAUGGCGAUUACAUUGUCCCAAGAAUGGUGUCCAUAGGCGCUUACCACCAUGGCCACCCGGAGUGGGCAUGGAGGAGAUCAAGAAGGUCGUGGAUAUUCUUAUAAGUUUUAAACAGUGGUUGUUCAAGUGGUUAUAAGAAUAUGUUUUGGAUUUACCUCUAUUAUUGGUGGUUUAUUCAUAAAUCUUGAAUUGAAAGUUUAUAACAUUAAUGCUAAACGUCUUAAGACUGAUAAAAACCACUUAAAUGUGGCACUCCUUGGUUAUAUCAAGAAAUAAUCUUCAUGUAGAUGAAGUAUUGAAGUCUUUUGAUUUGAAUCAAUGGAGAAAUACAUAGCAGUGUAUGGUAUCCGAUGAGCAAACUAGGGCGCGGUGAAUACUAAUACUUCAUUGAUGUUUUGAGUAAAUAUGAUUUACUAGAUGAAACAUAAGAUCUGAAAUAUUUGAAAAUGUUCAAAGAAAUUCAAAGUAAAGUUAAGAAUAUUUGUGACAAAUGAUAAAAGGUUCUUCAAUCAUGAAGAAAUAUAUCCGAGUCAUGAGUUUAGCCAACACUCGAAUAAUUGUGGAACUAUUUACUGAUUUGCUCACACCUAUGAGUUAUGGAGUACACGAUCCAGACAAAUGCCAAUUUGUAGGUUAUCCCAAAGGCGUAAUUGGGUAUUCCUUCUACCAAAAGUUCAAGGACAAAGUGUUUUUUACAAAUAAUGAACACUUUCUCAUGAAGGAGUUUUCUCGUUAAAAAAGUAAGUGGGAGGAUAAUACAAAUUAAUAAUAUUAUUGAAUCUCUCGCAGAAGGAAGCAGGAUUAACAAACCGGAAGUCGUACCGAAAGUUGUCCGCACAACUGAGCUGGAAGUUACUACACUAGAUGUAGAAAUUCCAAUUAAAGCUUGUAACAGAAAUGCGUAGAUCAGGAAGAGUUAAGGAACCUCCUGAAUAAUUUCACAAUAAGAUAUUCAUCUUAGAAGAAGAUGAACCCGCGCAAUUCAAGGAAGCGAUGGUUGUGCCCAACUCAAAGGAAUGUCUUAUAGCCAUACACACUGAAAUGGAGUUCAUAUACAACAAUUAAUUUAGAACCUAGUUGAUUCUCCAGAAGGUAUGUAACAAAUGGAUAUCAAAACGAGUUUCCUAAGUGGAAAUGAUGUAUGAAUGAUACGACCAGAAAGUUUUGUAGAUCCUAAGGAUACCGAUAGGUGUGCAAGAUUCAAAUGUCUUUCUAUGGUUUGAAGCAACACUACAAAAAAUAGACCAUUCGUGACAUUUUGGCACGAACGAAAACUUUUUCUGUCAUGCUUAUGACACUUCUAUGACGAUAAUUGUGACAAAAACACGUAUCAUCAUAGAUGUGGUGGGUCCUACUUCUAUGAGAAAAAAUCAUGACAAAAAAUGGGAUUUUCAUCCUGGGCGGGCCGGGGACGCACCUGCAUGACAUUCUUGUUGGAACAGUGCGGGGUUCACCUGUAGGAACAGCAGCAACCAGCCCAUAUUUUGUUUUAUAAUUAACAGGUUGUAGUGUACCACUUUGAAGACGUGUCCGCGGAAGAAUGGAGGUGGCUGGAACGGGCACAGAGGAUCCCAUAGGCGCAGCCUCCAACGAAGCAGCGGAUCCCAUCGAUCCCGAGGGGGAGACAACGACGUCAGGGGGAUCUUCUGCGCGCGACUCAUCAGGAGAAGGGGAGCUCGGCGCAGACGAUCCAGAGGAGCCGGGCGUAGUCGACUAGAGGGGCCCAGCGUGCACGGGAUCGGUGCGAUACGGGUCCCACCUCGUGUUGAUGCGGGGGACAGGCGCAAAGCGGGCGGGAGACUAGUCCCCCGUCGUUGGUUGGAUGGUUGUGCGGGCGGGAGACUAGUCCCCCGUCGUUGGUUGGAUGGUUGUGCGGGCGGGAGACUAGUCCCCCGUCGUUGGUUGGAUGGUUGUGCGGGCGGGGACCGACCCCACAGCAGGGCGACACGCGGCGUGAGGAGGUUGGCGCAGGGGGGAUCAGCCGGGGAGGCGCGGGCCUCCUGACGAGGCGGUGAUCCCGGCGUAGAUGUGCCCUGACCUGACGUAGUCGGGCGCGCAGAUCCCGAAGCGGAUCGCCCCUGGUCUCCUGUGCCAGUGGCAGAACCCUCCAGGGCAUGGUUUUCUUCAAAAAAAACAUGAUUUACUUCACCGUUUGCGCUGCAAUUUGUUCCUGUAACACCAUACUCAGGUAAAGGAUUAGGAGAGUUAGUCAAACUGGAUCAUACAAUUAUCAUUACCCAUACGAUCAACUCCAGAAAGAUGGGAAGGAAACAGGAGGAUCUCUUUGCGAAGGAGAGCACCGACAUUAGGAUGGAGUGUGGCAAAAGGAAAUUGUGUUUCAUCAAAUACCACAUCACGAGAAAUAUAGACGCGGCCAGUAGCAACAUCAAGACAUUUAACACCCUUAUGUUGAGCACUGUAUCCAAGAAAGACACAUUGCUUGGAACGAAACAUAAGUUUACGAGUGUUAUAGGGACGGAGAUUGGGCCAACAUGAGCAACCAAAGACUCGAAGAGUGGUGUAGUCAGGUGUGAUAUGCAAAAGACGCUCAGUGGGGGUCUCAUUAAAGAUGAAACGACUAGGCCAUAUGUUGAUAAGGUGCACAUCAGUAAGAAACGCUUCAUCCCAAAAUUAGUGGCAUGGAGGCGGAAGCAAGGAGAGCUAGUCCUACUUCAACAAUGUGGCGGUGCUUGCGUUCGGCUGACCCAUUUUGCUGGUGCGCAUGGGGGCAUGAGACAUGAUGGGAAAUGCCAAUAUUUUAAAAAAAGAAUUGAGCUUCUCGUAUUCCCCACCCCAAUUAGACUGCAUAGCAAUGAUUUUACUAUCAAACUUGCAUUCUACAAGAGCUCGAAAGUUGUGAAACACUUGAAAAACAUCAGAACGCUUUUUGAGCAAAUAGAUCCAUGUGUACUUACUAAAAUCAUCAAUAAAGCUUACAUAUUAGAAUGUCGACCAAAAUAGAAGUAGGGGCUGGACCCCAUACAUCAGAAAAGAUAAGUUGCAAGGGCUUGGUUGACAUAUUAGUGGAUACAUGAUAUGGCAAUUGAUGACUUUUUCCUCGCUUGCAUGAAUCACAAACAGUCUCUAAAUUUAUCUCAUCAACAACUGGGAGUUUAUUUCUACUAAGGAUGAUUGUAUGAGCAAUACUUAGGAAGUAAUGCAUAGAGUCCUUCCACACAGACACCUCUAUGGAGAAUUUCCUUCGUGACCUGAUUCACUACUAGGAAAAGGGCUAUAGAUGAAAUGGAUACUAAUGGCGCACCAGUCAUGUGGUGCGCCACUACUAUAUAGAAGUAGCGCACCAUGUGCAGGUGCGCCAUUAGGGUGGAAGACACUAAUGGCGCACCAGGCACAUGAUGUGCCACUAGUAACAAUUUUUUUUCCAAACAUACUAAUGGCGCAUCCUGGCACAGUGCGCCAUUACUAGUGCUAACUAGUAAUGGCGCACCGGCCAAACAGUGCGCCACUACUGUUGUUGUUUUUUAAUUCUUUUUUUUUGCAAAAUUACUAAUGGCGCACCGUGGCAUAGUGCGCCAUUACUAGUUUAAACUAGUAAUGGCGCACUGUGCCACGGUGCGCCAUUAGUGUAUAUAAUUUUAUUUUAUUUUGCAAAACUACUAAUGGCGCACCAUCUGCUGGUGUGCCAUUAGUAACCAGGGUUACUAAUGGCGCAUUUGCAGGUGGUGCGCCAUUAGUAACCUAGGACCAACAAGAUAUUUUGGACAACCACACCUACCCACUCACUUUCCCCACUUCAUUCUCUCCACCUCCUCCACCAAGCUUGUCUCGGCUGCCUCCUCCUCCUCACCUCAUUUGCACCAUAGAUUCAUCCAAAUUAAGUGGUUAAAUUACCUUUUUUUGAUAGGUAAGUAAGGGGGGAAGCUAUCUUAUGUUGUUCUCCCUCUCCAACAACGUGCACAUGCACUUUUUGUGGCCUAGCUAGAUCUAUGUAUGUUUGUGCUGUUGCAUAUGUUUUGGUGUUGCAUAUAUGUUUAUGUUUGCAGGUACCGGUAUUUAAAAUGCGAUAGUUGCCAAUAUUUUGCCGGAAUGUUGAUUCAUUUCCGUUUCGGCGAGAAUUUUGGCACUAUGCAUUCUUUUUGGUCCUAUUUUUAGGGAAAGUCAUGCCAAUUUUUUUCUUUGUUCUAAAAUAUCGUUUUGCUCUACCCCGCAAGCGACCAUGGUCCGCACGAUGACCGAAGGUAUCGUGAAUAGGUUUUUGAGCUCCGCGAAGGCCGAGAUGCUUCAAAAGAACGAGACGGAGAUAAGAUGUCCGUGUCGAAGAUGCAAGCUGAAGAGCCUUAUUGUGGACCCGGAUUCCGGGCAGGUGCGGAACCACCUGCUCUUGCGUGGUUUCAUGGAUGGCUAUCGGUGGCAAGGUGAUGAAGAUGACUAUGAAGUCGUCCAUGGGGGCCGGGCAAGAAAUGAGCAAGACUCGGGCGGGCGAGAAGACGAAGAAUCUCCAGGACAUGAUCACGACGGUGAUGCUGUACACAGUCAUCAUGUGGAAGAUGCAUGACAUGAUGAUGAGGAAGAUGCCGGAGCAGACGAAGGGCAUGAUCAUGAAGAUGAAGAUGCCGACGGAGCAGAAAACGAUGGACCAUCGAUGGGCUGGGUGGAGGACCCUCAUAUUCAAGAGCUGCUUCUCAAGCAGACGGAUAACGCAAGAGCUGCCGUUUGAGAGAAAGCAAAGCUGGAUCAACUGGAGAUAGACGCGGUUACUCCAUUGUAUGAAGGAUGCAUGCCCGAGGAUACCCGCCUGAAAGUAACUCUCAUGGCUCUGGAGAUGAAGGUAAAACACAAAAUGACCGACGCAUGCUUUGACGAGAACAUGUCAUUCUGGCAUGAACGUCUUCCCAAGGGGAACAAGUGUCCAACUAGUUUCGAGGAGGCGAAGAAAAUCGUGUGUCCUCUGGAUUUACCGUACGUGAAAUACCAUGUGUGCAUGAACAAUUGCAUCAUUUAUCAGGACGAGCACGCGGAGUCUACCAUAUGUCCGGUGUGCGGCGUCACUCGAUACAAGAAGAGGAAGAAAGCUUCUCGAAAAGUGGUGUGGUACUUUCCGAUCACUCCUCAUCUGCAGCGGUAUUUUGCGGACCCUAAGGUAGCAAAGCUCCUGCGUUGGCACGCGGAUAGGGAGGAGAAGAAGCGAAAAGAUGGCGCAAAUGAUCCGGAGAUAAAUAAAAAAGACAAGAUGCUGCGUCAUCCUAAGGAUGGGAGCCAGUGGCAAGCGUUGAACUUCGAACACCCAGAAUUUGGGAAGGAUCCAAGGAACAUCGUGCUGGGCGUGAGCAUCGAUGGAGUCAAUCCGUUUGGCAGCCAGAGAAGCACACAUAGCACCUGGCCUGUGUUUGUGUGGAUGUACAACCUUCCCCCCUGGUUGUGCAUGAAGAGGAAGUACAUUCACAUGAGUAUGCUAACUGAAGGGCCGAAACAACCAGGGAACGACAUCAAUCUGUAUCUGGGGCUGCUAAAAGAGGAGCUAGAUACGCUGUGGAAAACGCCAGCCAAUACGUGGGACACCGCAGAGAAAGAAUAUUUCCCUAUGAGAGCCACACUGCUCACGAGGUGCACGACUAUCUCGGUUACGGAUAUCUCGCGGGGCAGGUGGUCCACAGAUUUUCUGGAUGCGUCAGGUGCAUGGAUGACACAACGUAUCGCCAGCUAGAUAGAGAUCCCAGGUCUUCGAAAACCGUGUUCAUGGGACAUCGAAGGUGGCUUCGCGACGAUGACCCGUGGAGGAAACACAAGGAUCUGUUCGAUGGUGAAACCGAACCCCGAAGACGCCCGCGUACGAGGAGCGGUGAGGAAAUAGACCAGCUGUUGAAAAAUUGGAAAGAUUGCCCACUGCCGGGAAAGAAGCAAAAGGCGCCAGAGCCGGGAAAGAAGCGAAAGGCACCAGAGCCGCUGCUGAAGGUAUGAAGAACGUGUGCGAGAGUCUGCUUGGUACCCUGCUCAACAUGCCAGAGAGGACCAAAGAUGGGCCGAAAGCAAGGGCAGACUUGAAAUCAAUGGGCAUUAGGGAGGAGCUUCACACUAAUGAUGAUGAUGAUGAGGCGAAGUAGGACAUGGAAAGUUGUCGCAAAGGCAAAAAGGCCAAGAAGACCGGAAAUGACUACCCUCCCGCGUGCUUCACUCUAAGUCAGGAGGAGAUCGAUCAGUUUUUCACCUGCCUCGUAGGAGUAAAACUUCCUUAUGGUUACGCGGGGAAGAUAAGCAGAUACCUAGACACAGCGAACCAGAAGUUCAGUGGGAUGAAGUCUCACGACUGUCACGUGCUGAUGAUGUAGAUACUUCCUGUUGCAAUCCGUGGGAUCAUGGACGCGCACGUCCAUGAAACGCUAUUUGGCCUAUGCAACUUUUUCGACGUCAUCUCUCGGAAGUGGGUUGGCGUGAGGCAACUCAGAAGGCUACAGGAAGAGAUCGUGGUGAUACUAUGCAAGCUUGAGAUGUACUUCCCGCCCGCAUUCUUCGACGUUAUGGUGCAUCUGCUGGUCCAUAUCGUGGAGGAUAUCAUCCAACUCGGGCCGACGUUCCUGCACAGCAUGAUGCCGUUCGAAAGGAUGAAUGGUGUCAUCAAAGGAUACGUUCACAACAUGUCACGCCCAGAGGGAAGCAUAGCCAGGGGCUUUCUGACCGAAGAGUGCAUCUCCUACUGCACGAAUUAUCUAGGCACCGAGAACCCCGUUGGUCUACCCGUCAACAGGCACCUCGGCAGGCUCGCUGGAUGGGGUCACCGUGAGGGUCGCCGCGAAAUGCAUGUCGACUUCGAGGGUCGACUCGCUGACUUUGAAAGAGCAAACCUAGUCGCGCUACAGCACAUAGACGUGGUCGAUCCUUGGGUGCUAGAGCACAAAACCUUUAUUGAGAAGACGUACAAUGACCUAGGCCAACAGAGGACGGACGGAGAUAUAAUCAAAGAGCACAACCCAUGUUUCAUGCGUUGGUUCAAGCAGAAGCUUCUGUCGUACCCUUUACAUGAGGAUUCUUCCGCGGAAGAACAACUCAUAUUCGCCUUGUCACAGGGCGCCGAGCACAACCUGAUGACGUAUGAGGUGUAUGAUAUCAACGACUACACAUUCUACACCGAGGGAAAGGACAUGAAGAGCGAUGGUUAUCAGAACUCCGGGGUAACGAUGGAAUCCUACACCGGUAAUGACAAGGACAUAUACUACGGAAGGAUCGAGGAGAUCUAGGAGCUGAGUUACGCUGGAGAGAAGGUCUCGAUGUUCCGUGUCAGAUGGGCCAAGAGCGUCAUAAAAGAAGACCGGUAUUUCACCACCAUGGUUAUACCCGAAGCCAAAUCCAGGACCGCGGGCGCAAACGUCACCGUGAAAAAUGAGCCAUGGGUACCUGCUUCCCAAGUGGACCAAUGCUUCUUCAUUACCGACUCGCCAAAGCCCAGUCGUGUUGUCGUGAGGAGAGGCAAAAGGAAGAUCAUCGGAAUGGAUGGAGUCGCCAAUGAGCAAGACUUCGACAAGUACGGCGACCCGAAGAUGGAACAUGAUGACGACGAUGAAGUAUCAGCAUACACCACAAGAAGAAGCAGGACCACCCUACCUAAAGGACGUCCGUUCAAGAGAAGAACUCCAUUUACGAAAAAUAAGGGCAAGAAGAUUGUGAACAGAUAGCUAGCUAAGAUCAAUUGUAUUUAAAUUGUAGCCUUCAUUUCUCGAUUAUUGUAUUUCAUGGGCACUUUAAUUUUGAACUCAUGAAUGUUUUUAAAUUUCAUGGACACACGAUCUCGAUCCCCCUCCAUCUCGAUCGCUAUCCCACCUCGCCAGAUCCGGUCUCCCUCGCCGCUGACGACCCAUCGCACCCUCCCUCGCUCCACCGACCGCCGCCGCCGACCCCCCGCACCCUCCCCCGCUCCACCGCCGCCGACGACCCACCGCACCCUCCCCCGCUCCACNNNNNNNNNNNNNNNNNNNNNNNNNNNNNNNNNNNNNNNNNNNNNNNNNNNNNNNNNNNNNNNNNNNNNNNNNNNNNNNNNNNNNNNNNNNNNNNNNNNNNNNNNNNNNNNNNNNNNNNNNNNNNNNNNNNNNNNNNNNNNNNNNNNNNNNNNNNNNNNNNNNNNNNNNNNNNNNNNNNNNNNNNNNNNNNNNNNNNNNNNNNNNNNNNNNNNNNNNNNNNNNNNNNNNNNNNNNNNNNNNNNNNNNNNNNNNNNNNNNNNNNNNNNNNNNNNNNNNNNNNNNNNNNNNNNNNNNNNNNNNNNNNNNNNNNNNNNNNNNNNNNNNNNNNNNNNNNNNNNNNNNNNNNNNNGAAUGCAACUAAAAUUGCAACAAAAAACAAAUUUGAUUAUAUUUUCAAAUAACAAAUUUGAUGAUAUUUUCAAAUAAUAAAUUUGAUGAUAUUUUUUCAUAUUCAUAAAUAUUUUCAAAUACCAAAUUUGAUGAUAUUUUUUAAAAAAUUAUUGCUGUUUUAUAAAAAAAUAUUACUGUUUCAUAUUCAUUUUCUUAAAAAUUAUUAGAUGCAACAAAAAAUAAAAUAAUUACUUAUGGCGCACCUCUGGCUGGUGCGCCAUUGCUAUAUAUAUAAAAAAAGAUUACUAAUGGUGCGCCAUUGCUAUAUAAAAAAAAGAUAACUAAUGGCGCACCAGCUGGGGGUGCGCCAUUGCUAUCUAAAAAAACAUACUAAUGGUGCACCGCUGCGGGGUGCGCCAUUAGUAAGCUGCCCCCCCAAGCUAAUUCCUCCCUCUUCCUCUCGCCAGAUCCCCUUCGUCCAGAGCCCCUCGCCAGAUCCACCCGCGCUGCCCCGACGCCGCCGCCCCGACCCCCACGGACUCCACCCCCGCCGCCCCCGCGCCCCCACCACCGCAGCUCCCCCGCGCCGCCGCCCCUGCACCCCCCACCACUGCAGCUCCCCCANNNNNNNNNNNNNNNNNNNNNNNNNNNNNNNNNNNNNNNNNNNNNNNNNNNNNNNNNNNNNNNNNNNNNNNNNNNNNNNNNNNNNNNNNNNNNNNNNNNNNNNNNNNNNNNNNNNNNNNNNNNNNNNNNNNNNNNNNNNNNNNNNNNNNNNNNNNNNNNNNNNNNNNNNNNNNNNNNNNNNNNNNNNNNNNNNNNNNNNNNNNNNNNNNNNNNNNNNNNNNNNNNNNNNNNNNNNNNNNNNNNNNNNNNNNNNNNNNNNNNNNNNNNNNNNNNNNNNNNNNNNNNNNNNNNNNNNNNNNNNNNNNNNNNNNNNNNNNNNNNNNNNNNNNNNNNNNNNNNNNNNNNNNNNNNNNNNNNNNNNNNNNNNNNNNNNNNNNNNNNNNNNNNNNNNNNNNNNNNNNNNNNNNNNNNNNNNNNNNNNNNNNNNNNNNNNNNNNNNNNNNNNNNNNNNNNNNNNNNNNNNNNNNNNNNNNNNNNNNNNCCCGGCGCAGGAUCCCCACCUCCUCCUACCUUCCUCCCUCACCCCAUCACCUUCCUCCCCCAACGAGCUCGCACGCACCUUGGAUCCCCGGCGCCGGUGUGCCCCUUCCCACCGCCCUCCCUGAUGGCCGCCUCCAUCACCACCCCCUCCAUAGCGCGUGCGCCGCCCCAGCACCAUCACCUAAACCAUCCACUGCUGCUCCCCCCAUCUUCUUCUACUCCAUUGCCAAGCACCACCGCAGGUACGAAUGAGGUCCAUCGGCAUCGAGGUUCUAGCAAGUUUGCCCUGCAGUUUGGGCUAGCAAUUCACUUUUGUUAUUGCUGCUGAACCUCCCCGAGUAGGAGUGCAGUUCUCUCUGUAGUUCUUUUUUUAACUUGUGCCAUGCAGUUCGCAAUGUAAAUUUGCAGUGAAUUGUUUGUAAUUUUAUUUCUGCUGGUUGCCGCUUGCUUGCUUCGUGUAUCAUGUGCUACUGAAGAUGAGUAAUUGUAGGAAGAUGAUGCAUAGUAGUUUUAUGUUGUUGUAGUAGUUGUAGGAUGUUAUUGUAGUUGAAGUUGCAGGAGUAGAUAAUGGAGUACUGCCAAUUUACUGUUAGUAAAGAUGUUGAACACACAACUGUUGUUUACUCUAGUGAUAGGAGUAGUAGUGGUGUCCAUCUAGUUGGACUACUACUGCUAGGACUUGCUCCAGAUUUUAGGAUUUCUUUUCUUUUACGAUUUAUUUUCUUCUAGGACUAAAUUGUUGUAGUAUGUGUGGUGCGCUGAAGUACUCCAUUUUAGACACAAAGCACUGUGUUGUGGAGUACCCCAACCAGUUGAGUGGAAUAUUUCCAGUAGUUAGAAUACUUCCAUUAGGGCAUCUCCAUUGCAUAGCCGCUUAUGUAGGCGCUUAAGGCUUAAAAAUAAAACUUUGUCCGCCCUGCAUACUUCCAUUAGGGCAUCUCCAUUGCAUACUUUGUCUUGCUGAUUAGACUACCAAGUACUAAAAUCUAAGUCAAAUCGUUUGCUUACAUCUCCCAGGUUACAUGACUUCUGAAGUUAUUUCACUUGUUGACGAGAAAGAAAACAGAGCUAAACUGCUGAUUGUCAAGGUAGUGGUCAGUACUACAUGCUUGUUCUCGUUUAAUAUUGGUUGAUUUCUCAAAUAUAUUAUAUGCAUGUCUUGUUUUCUGGUCUGAUAAUGCUUACCUAAGGUUUUUAUUAUUUUGCUGUUGUGAUUGUUUUUUGAGCUCUUUAUUUUUCAUUUCCUACUAUCCUUAUCCUAAUUAUCUUAAAUUGUUAUGAUGUGUGUAACAGGAUUAGAUCUUGGAUUUGCUAGUGGACUUUGGGAGUUUCUUAGCCAGCUUGGUGACUCCAUAUUUUUCACUAUUUCAUCAAGUCUUUUGUAAGCAUUAAACUUUCAGCACUACAUUUUUAUCUUAUGUGUACAUCUGUUUGCUUCCAAUUGCUAUAUAUGUAUUGUUGUUACUAAAAAUGAUGAAGCUCAUGUCAAUUGCUAUACAUAUAUAUAUGUGUAUGAUGAUCCUCCUUUCCUAAAAGUGAGAUUGCCAUACGUAGUUCAGAACUGACCUAGCUAAGGUUGUUUUCCUACUGAAUGAUGAUAUUAUUAUGAUGAUAUUUUCCUACUGAUUAUAAUUUGUACCUGUGUACUAGCACUGUGUCAUAUUCUUCCAUUACAAGUAGUACAAGGCUAGUACUAGUAGUGCUACUCUCUUACUGCCAGUGACAGUCUAUCGAGGUCAUUAACUCCAACUCAAGUGGGCAUAAUUCUCUGCAGUAGUAUAGCACUUGCAGUAGUAUGGCACUUGCAGUAGUGGUGCCUACGCAAGAUACAGUUCAGAUUUGAUUAGUUCCCUAAAUUUGUAUGACCACAGAUUUGUAUAGUUUCAAAGAUUUGUAUGACCAAAGAUACAGUUCAGAUUUGAUUAGUUCCAUAAAUUUGUAUGACCAAAUAUAUAUUUCAGAUUUGUAUAGUUUCAGAGAUUUGUAUGACCAAAGAUACAGUUCAGAUUUGAAUUGUUUCAGAAAUUUGUAUGACCAGAGAUACAGUUCAGAUUUGAAUUGUUUCAGAAAUUGGUAUGACCAAAGAUGCUGUUGUAUAUAAAUGGGCUGCUGUAGAACUGUUCUUCAUCUUUAUAGUGCUGUUGUAUAGAAAUAUGCUGAAUUUUCUGCUCUGAUUGUUGCUCAAAGAAAUUUAGCAAAAAAAUGGGGUCCUGGGAGACGCUGCUGCUGCUUGAGGCCCUUGAGAGGCCCUUCGUGUCGUGAUGAUUUUGCAGGUACCCCGAGAGGCCCUUGAGUUUUCCGGAAUGUCGAUUAACUUCCGUUCUGGCAAAUUCGGGUACUCCAUAUGUCCUAUUUUCAGCAAAGGUCAUGCUGAAAUUUUCCGUGAAUUUUAGCAUGACUUUGCUAAAAAUCGGACAUAUGGGGUACUUGCUGCUAAUGCAUGGGCCGGGGUAUCUUAGUACUUAAUUCAGUAGGAUCAACUGCCCCUUUAUUCUUGCUGCAUUAAACCAUAGGUGGCAAUAGAGCCAAGUGAUUAGGCCCAACUUAGAAUUCUCCUUAGCAUCGAUAAACCCUAGUUGAUAAACCCAACAUAGGUGGCAAUAGAGCCAAGUGAUUAGUGCCAAGUGAUUAGGCCCAACCUAGGGUGCCUCGGCAUCGAUAAACCCUAAAUGAUGAAAACUUAACUUAGCAUUUAGGGUGCCUCGGCGUCGACAAACCCUAAAUGAUGAAACCUUGGCUUUUAGGGUGCCUCGGUGUCGAUGAGAACCUAAAUGAUGUACGCUUAGGCUUUUAGGGUGCCUCGGCGUUGACAAACCCUAAAUGAUAAAAGCUUAGCUUUUAGGAUGCCUCGGUGUCGACAAACCCUAAAUGAUGAGACCAUGAUCUUGUUCCUUGACAAUAACCAACUUUUUGACCAAAAUUUUUCCCUAUUUAGAGCGAAACAUGGCCCACAAUGAUGAGGCCGGCGGUUCGGGCGGCAAGCAAUUCUGGGAGCUGUCCCAGGAGUUGGAGGAAGAACCUCACCGCUAUGAGGACGCCGCAAAAGACACCGAUCCUGGCUACACAACCCCUAGUGGCGUCGGGGAUGACACCACUGAUGGUGCCGCCGAGGAUGCCACCACUGAUGAUGGCGGCGCAGAUGGCAGCCAACCGAAGAGGCAACGAAAGGACCGGCGCCCGAACGUGCUCGGCACCGUCAAGGAGGAAUUUACUAAAGUGAACUCCGACGGGCAUCCGACAGCGCCCAAAGAAGUAGUCAAGGGGUACUCGGUUCAGCUCAGGUGCAUUCUCCGGAGCACCGUCUCGAUCAACACCGAGAACCUAAGGCAUAAGGACCGAGGGAAUUUGCGCAGCCUCCUCUUCACGAAGCUGCACGACGAUACAAGUUCCCCGCUGAAUUUGCAAACACACGCCUCUCAGGGAACAAAGUGAACAGUGCCGCCCUCACGAGGAUGAGCACGGCCCUGUCUACUUGGAGAAGCACGGUCAAGGCAAUGAUUGAAAAAGGUGAUAGUUAUGAGAAGAUCAAGGCGAAAUAUCCUUUGAUGAGCGAAGAUGACUACAAGGACUUCAAGAUCAAGUGCAAGAGCAGCGCAACCUCCGAAUCAAGUCAGUGGGGGAAAGAAAUGCGGCAGUUGAACUUAGGGGUCCACCAACUCGGUUCCGGCAGUUACAGAGUGGCGGAGCCUAUAUGGGAUAAGGAGGACGCGGAGCGUGCCGAGCAAGGCCUACCGCCCCGCUUCGAGAAAUAUCGUGACAAGCAGACCAGGAACUUUCUUAGGGCCCGGUACAAGGAGGACCCGGUAACAAAGGAGCUUACCACGGAUCCUAAGACCAGGGCGCUCGAGCUUGUUCUGGUAAGGAAUACACCCGCGCGUAAUUAGCUCCAUAUGGUUGCAUUCUAAUUAAUCCCCAAUAUUUCUAAAUGGUUCACGUUCCUUCCGCAGGACACUGAAAGCAGUAGCGCGGGGUUGUCUCAGAGCUCCCCUUUUGACACCCCUUUAAAUAGGGCGUUGAACGUAAUGAAAAACAAGGAUAAGCUCAGUAAGCCGACGUCAGCUGGUCGUGUGGCCGGCAAAGGCUUGUCCACAAAAUGGUCAUCAUACUAUACCGCUGGUGGGCGAAAGGAGAAAAAGACCAGCUCGGAAAGCCAGUCGUGCGAGGUUGAAGCACUCAAGGCACAAGUGGCGCGGAUUUCGGAGAUUGUCCAAGAGCAAGUGCAACAACAACUGGGAACGACGCUCACCGCCAUGGUGCCUACGUUGAUUCAUGGGCUGACGACGUGGAUUGCGGGCGACCAACAGGGGCCUCCCCCUGUUCCUAGCUUCACGGCCAGCAACUCGCACAACGCACAGGCGGCGCCAUUGGUGUCUCCGGCGGUGUCAUUGGUGUCUCCGGCGGAGGCGGUAUUCAUGUCUCCGGCGCCGGCACGGGCAUUGGAGCUUAAUGGACCCGAGUGUACGCCGGCCGGCACCUCGCCAGCAAGCGGCCCCUCCGUCAGUUGCGUGCCCGCCGUUGGCGGUGCCUCGACAUUAGCCGAGCUCGACGGCAUCAUGGUAAUUAAGCCUCUCAGCCGAUGACUUCAUCUCCUUGCCUUUGACUGGGUAUCCCUGACGCCCUACAUGUUUUCGCAGGGCGCCGCCAACGUUCCUUGCACUCUCCUGCACUUCGUGGGCGGCGAGUUGGUCGAUGUCGCCAAGGGCAGAAUCAUUCAACCGGGUAACCCCGUGUUCCACGGUAAUCCGAUGCCACCCACCUUGUAUAGGGUUGAACUGGUUCGGGUGCUGCCAGGCUACGACGAGCUGUUACCUCCGAUUCGACCCGCUGGGUCCGACGAAGAAGAUGAGAUGACCCUCAGCGCCUGCGUAAGCUGGCCCCUGCUUUGGCCGAAGAGCCAGAUUCGUUUGGGGCGGGGGACACCACCCCACAGACAAGACCGCCAGUCAUGCCGGCGCCAAGCCAUGGCAAGAACGCCGCAAUGCUACCGGACAUGCCGGACAUCCCUAUGGCACAGGAUCCGGACAUGCAUAUGGAACAGGAUCCGGACAACGACGACAACGACGACGGUACAUUUACCAACGUCGAUAAGUACUUUGCCGAACAUGGGUACGCUGACGAGUUCUGCGGGCCUCCUUCUCAAGAAACCAACCAAGACGACCGCAAUCUAGCUGGUACGACGGAGAAAUCCAAUUGCAAUAGGCGUCAUCUGGCGUUCAGUUCUCAGGAGACGCCUCCAGCUCCCGCCUUCAUCGAGCCUCAGACAGCUGAGGUGAGAAAUAUUAUCAGCCCCAACACGCUCAAGAAGGCGGUCUGUGAGCAGAACUCAGUCCCAUUACAGCAGAUCAAGAAGAAGGGACGGAAACAGAAGACUAACAAGGGCGCCGGUGCGAGCCAGCCAGCACCGAGUACGAUCCGUGCUCAGGACGGGCCACCUUCAGCUAAGGAUAUCUCGAGGAGGGUGCAUGUGGUGGAUAGGGCGAUGCUACCGCCAAAUAUGCUCAAUGCUGCAACCGGUGCUAUGUGGAGUCUGCAUGACAGUGUUCUUUCUUUGGAGAAGCGGCGUCUCUCCCAGAAUGAUGUGGCAUACCCGAUUUUCGUCGCCAAGGUGCCAGAGGGCAAGGGCUUUGUGGAUGGCUCCAUCGGGGGUACGAUCGUCCUGCGAUUUGAUGACAUCUUUGCUAUGUUUAACCUUCAUCCGCUGCACUACAUCUUCGUUCGGCUGUUUUCGCUGAGUAUGGAGAUGCGGGUCAUUCGAGACAAGACCCCAGACAUCGUGAUAGUCGACCCCUUCUACAUGCGUGCCAAGAUCUUGGGCAGCGCUGGGGACCGGCAAGUCGCGAGUUCACACCUCGAAGAUGUCAUUCUAGCAAACCCAGAUAAGGAUAACUUCCUCGUGCCUUACUUUCCCAAGUAAGUCAUCCCCUCACCGCCCCGUAACAUAUGAUUUCUUAGAUUUUGAUCGUUCUUUUUUUUCUAACAUUCCGUGUUCUGUGCAGUGACACACAUUGCACACUCAUCCUCUUAAGCCCGAAAUAUUCCACGGCCACGUAUUUCGACCCAGACCGUGACUCCAAGAUAGACUACACAAAUAUCAAGAAAGUUCUUGAUGAUGUUCUCCCCGGCUACGCCAAAUCUGGAGGCACUUUUAAGAAGCCAGUUCAUAGGUACGGCAGGCACGUGUUCACCCACAAUACGAUGUUCCCCUAUGUCAAGCAGUCGCCUGGCGGUCAUAAGGAUGCCUACUACGCCCUCCAUCACAUGCGGGCGAUCGUACGGGACCAUAAUCACCUUCUGUUACCAAAUAAUGUCAAAGAUUGGGCCACGCUUGGCGGCAAUCCAGGACGCGGACCUUCGACAAGAAUUCUUUCGCAUCCAGUCGGAGUUUGCAGAAAUCAUCCAUCAAGAAGUCCUUCAUACCUCGGGGCAGUUCUACCUCAGAUAUCAACCGUCCAACAGUGAGAUAGACACAACGCUACAAAUGUAGGCUGACAACUGCUACCUCUUGAGCACUGCGUUGGAUUUCCCCGAAGAGGAGAGGAUGAUGCAGCAAAGUAGCGUAAGUAUUUCCCUCAGUUUUUGAGAACCAAGGUAUCAAUCCAGUAGGACACCACGCACAAGUCCCUCGUACCUACACAAAACGAUAGCAACUCGCAACCAACACGAUUAGGGGUUGUCAAUCCCUUCUCAGUCACUUACGAAAGUGAGAUCUGAUAGAGAUGAUAAAUAAUAUUUUUGGUAUUUUUGAUAGAUAGAUGCAAAGUAAAAAGUAAAAGGCAAAGUAAAAACAAGGCAAGUAAAUAAAGUGAUAGAGAUUGAUAUGAUGAGAAUAGACCCGGGGGCCAUAGGUUUCACUAGUGGCUUCUCUCAAGAGCAUAGAUUUCCUACGGUGGGUGAACAAAUUACUGUUGAGCAAUUGAUAGAAUUGAGCAUAGUUAUGAGUAUAUCUAGGCAAUGAUCAUGUAUAUAGGCGUCACGUCCAAAACAAGUAGAUCGAAACGAUUCUUCAUCUACUACUAUUACUCCACUCAUCGACCCUAUCCAGCAUGCAUCUAGAGUAUUAAGUUAAAAACAGAGUAAUGCCUUAAGCAAGAUGACAUGAUGUAGAGGGAUAAAUUCAUGCAAUAUGAUAAAAACCCAUCUUGUUAUCCUCGAUGGCAACAAUACAAUAUGUGCCUUGCAACCCUUUCUGUCACUGGGUAAGGACACCGCAAGAUUGAACCCAAAGCUAAGCACUUCUCCCAUUGCAAGAACUACCAAUCUAGUUGGCCAAACCAAAAAGGAUCAUUCGAAGAGACUUGCAAAGAUAACUCAAUCAUACAUAAAAUAAUUCAGAGAAGAAUCAAAUAUUUUCCAUAGAUAAUACUGGAUCAUAAACCCACAAUUCAUCGGUCUCAACAAACACACCGCAAAAAGAAGAUUACAUUGAAUAGAUCUCCACGAGAGAGGGGGAGAACAUUGUAUUGAGAUCCAAAAAUAGAGAAGAAGCCAUCUAGCUACUAGCUAUGGACCCGAAGAUCUGAAGUAAACUACUCACACUUCAUCGGAGGGGCUAUGGUGAUGAUGUAGAAGUCCUCCGUGGUGGAUGCCCCCUCCGGCGGAGCUCCGGAACAGGCCCCUAGAUGGGAUCUCGUGGAUACAGAAGGUUGCGGCGGUGGAAUUAGGUUUUUGGCUCCUGUUCUGAUCGUUUGGGGAUACAUAGGUAUAUAUAUAUGAGGAAGGAGUACGUCGGUGGAGCGUCAGGGGGCCCACGAGGUAGGGGGCGCGCCCGGGGGGCGCGCCCUCCACCCUCGUGACCGCCUCUGGCACUUCUUGGAGUAGGGUCCAAGUCUCCUGGAUCACGUUCGGCUAGAAAAUCACGUUCCCGAAGGUUUCAUUCUGUUUGGACUCCGUUUCUUUGAAACACUGAAAUAGGCAAAAAAACAACAAUUCUGGGCUGGGCCUCCGGUUAAUAGGUUAGUCCCAAAAGUAAUAUAAAAGUGGAAAAUAAAGCCCAAUAUAGUCCAAAACGGUAGAUAAAGUAGCAUGGAGCAAUCAAAAAUUAUAGAUACGUUGGAGACGUAUCAGGCAUCCCCAAGCUUAAUUCCUGCUCGUCCUCGAGUAGGUAAAUGAUAAAAAUGAAUUUUUGAUGCGGAGUGAUACUUUGGCAUAAUUUCAAUAUAAAUCUUCUUACUUGUGAUAUGAAUAUUCAGAUCCGAAAGAUUCAAGACAAAAGUUCAUAUUGACACAAAAAUAAUAAUACUUCAAGCAUACUAAUCAAAGCAAUCAUGUCUUCUCAAAAUAACAUGGCAAAAGAAAGUUCAUCCCUACAAUCAUAUAGUUAGUGUUGGGGAUAUUACCACUAGGCGUAAACCGGCCUACUUGGGCCGGGUUAACUUCAUUAGUGGUAUAAGCAGAUGAAGGCCCAAGGCCUGUAGUCGAUUUAGAACCUGUAGCCGUAAACCGGCCUAAUGUAUAACUUGUAUUGUAAGUUAGGAAUAGAGAGAUACCAACCGGGAUACGAGUAUGAACCGGUUGGGACUCUAAGGACCGAAGGGCGUCACCCGUAUAUAUAUAAGGGAACGACUCGGCGGCGGUUCAAGACAGACAACGACAACUCGAGCCUAGGCGAAGCUUGUUUGCUCCCUAGCCAUCGAGACCACAUCAAUUCCAUCACAACUAGACGUAGGCUUUUACCUUCAUCGAAGGGGCCGAACUAGUAUAAACCCUCGUGUCUUUGUGUCCGCUUUAACCCCUUCAAGUUAACCCGUAGCGAUGGCUCCACGACUAAGUCCUUUCACUAGGACAUCUACCGUGACAAAUCCACGACAGUUGGCGCCCACCGUGGGGCUAUCGCACGAUGGUUUGACGAUCUUGGAGGGCAAGCUCAAAGGACUCGAAGGCUAUGCUGUGGGCCGGAUGACCAAGAGUCGUCGUGGCAAGAUCUACAUCGACGAUGCAGGAUGGGGUCCCGAGGCCGAUUCGAUCGAGUACGGGUACCGGGUCCCCUUUGGUGGCAUACACGUUUUCAUCAGCAAGAUCGGUGAGCCCGGGCCUGAGCCGGACGUCUGCACCGACCUCGUCGAGACGGCUCAGCGUGCGAGAUCUACCCAGGCUAAACUGGCCAUGAAGCGUGCCUUCGUUGGAGUCAUCCACGGAGGAGAGCGUGAGGACGAGUCAGAACACGAUAGCGAGACCGUUGUCUAUUCCGGCGACGAGUCCUCGACCGGGGAAACCGAAUCGCUAUACCAGUUGCAAGACGACCAGGUUAGGGGCUGUUCCGAUGGCGACAGUAUUCCGGACCUCCCAGGUCAGAUCAACCGGGUUGGAAUAUUCAUGGCCGGCACACAGGCGGCGAAACACUCUUCGACCGCCGCAGCAAUGCUCUCCGGAUCAGCAGCGGCAGCGGCAGCAGGGGCAGGAGGCCUUAUGCGCCCACCGGUUCAAGUUUUGUCUGACCUGUUUGAUGCAUUAGCCACGCUUAUGGCAGAGGCCAAUCCGGCGGAUCAGGAGGCCCAUGAUGCAGAGAUUGCAGAGGUGAGAGAGCAGAUUGUACAAGCCAAAGCAGAUCUGGCAGCAGAAAAGGACAGGAUGGCCGCAGAGCGGGCCGCUUUGGACGCCCAGGCCUAUAAGCUCAUGCUUGACCAGAACGCGUCACAGGAGGUCUUGAAGCGGAAGCACAGGUCACGCCUGCCGUUAGGGUUUGACCCUCAAAAUCUCUUUCACACUCCGGGAACUGGACCCAGUAAUCCGCCACAGUACCUAGAGGCAAACCGGAUCGAGGCACCAGGGCCAGGGGCGACGGUCCAACCUCGCCUGAUGGAACCUCCUCAACAGAACAUUGUGAUUCCUUCGCCGGUUCAGACACCUCCGGGUCAUUAUUCUAAUCCUAUGGACAAUCUCGUUGCGGCUGCUGCGCGUUUAGAGGCUAUCCCGGUCGAAGGGGAUUCUCCGCAAGCGAUAGAGACACGACGGGUUAAGGAACUUCUCCGGACCGCGCUGAUUCAACAGGAGGCAUAUUCAUACAGCCGCGAUCGGAUUCAUUCCACACCUCAUCCAAGCCGGAGCUAUAACAGAUGCAUGGAUGAACCGGCCAUAUCGAGCAAUGCACGAGGCCGCGAAGCGGCCCGUGGCAAUAACCCGGCCGGUGGUGUUCGUGAUGCUCAGGAUGUGGUGGACCGGGCUCGAGCAUGAAGGAAGGCCGAGUUAGCAGCACAGAACGAGGCGGGUCAGCUUACACCGGUUCGUCCUACCACCUCUGCCGGGCCAGGGGUUGCAUCCGCUUUGGGAGUGCCUUGUUUAGUCCCCGCUUUACGCAAUGUGUGCCUGCCCAAGGAUUUCAAGGGUCCGCGCAAGGUGCCGAAUUACACCGCCGAUUUAUCUCCGGAAGCGUGGGUAUAGAGUUAUGAGAUGGCCAUGGAGAUGCUAGAUGUGGAUGAGACCGCGCGUGCAAAGUACUUCACCAUGAUGCUUGAGGGCAUGGCCCGUACUUGGUUGAAGAGCUUGCCGCCCAAUUCUAUCAGUUCAUGGGCCCAGUUGCGGGCCCGGUUUAUCCAGAAUUUCAAAGAUACGUGUAAGCAGCCCAAGUCCAUCGUAGACCUGGCGGCUUGUGUUCAGGAGGACAGAGAGUCAACCACCCAUUAGGUGCGCCGCGUUUCGGAAGUCUUGCACUCGUCUGACAGGAUCAAUGCUGAUUCUGCGAUCUUAACCCUGGAGGGCAACUGCCGGUUUAAGCCCUUAAAAUUCAAAUUGGGGCGCAUGAAGAGGUUUUGUAAUGACAUGGGAACUCUCAUGGCCGCUUUAGUGAAGUAUGCUGAUUCGGAUAGUACCAAGGAUCCCGAGACUGACGAUGAUGAAGCAGGGAAGGGAAAGAAGAAUAGCAAUUCCAGGGGGCAACAGUACAAACCGGUGGGUCAUGGAAACGGGGGCAAGCGAAAGGCGGAUGGCAGCAUGGACUUUGUGGCUAACACUAACGCACAGGACAGGGGUCAGCGGCGCAGAGGUAAAGCGGUAAAUCGUAAUGGGGCUCCAAAUCCUAACGCGGAUCAUUUGAAUUAUUUGUUGAAUCAGCCUUGCCCAAAGCACGUGACGAAGGAGGCACCGGCUAACCACCUUUGGAAGGAUUGUUAUAUUAUGCAGGAGUUUAAAAACUCUAAUGCUUUCCAGUACGACCGCGGGUCAGGUGGCGGUUCAGGAUCCGGUUUCCAUGGGCCGGACCACGAUGGAGCUUCCGGUUCAGGUCUCAAUCAGGGCGGUCACAACAACCAGAAUAAUCAGAACGGCCAGCAGCAGCAGCAGCAGUCGGGUUAUUAGAGCCAGCCAAAACAGUUGAACAAUGGGCAAUAUCAUGUUUUCACAACUAGCUUGGAUAAACGCGACCGGAAGCUCCACAAGCGAGCAGUGAACUCUGUUGAACCGGCCCUACCAUGCUACUUACGCUGGUCGGAGCAGCCUAUCCUGUGGAGCAGGGAGGACCUCCCACCCCGGGUUGAUAAUCCGGGCCAGCUAGCAUUAGUGGUAGACCCUCAGGUGGGAGGUUAUAAAUUCACCAAGGUACUCAUGGAUGGAGGGAGCAGUAUUAACAUACUAUACUAUGAGACAUUCCGCCGCAUGGGACUAACAGACAAAGAUCUCAGACCAUCUAAUUGGUGUUCCAUGGUGUGGUGCCUGGCAAAUCUGCAUAUCAUGUUGGUAAGAUAGCCCUGGAUGUGGCUUUUGGGGACGAGCACGAUUCCCGAUCCGAAAAACUAACCUUUGAGGUGGUGAAGAUCCGGAGCCCGUAUCACGCCUUGUUUGGGCGGCCGGCUUAUGCCAAAUUCAUGGCGCGGCCUUGUUAUAUCUAUCUGCAGCUCAAGAUGCCGGGUUACAAGGGGACAAUAACGGUUCACGGAAUCGUAAGGUUGCUUUGGAAUGUGAGGAAGGUGAUGCGGCUUAUGCAGAGUCGGUCUGUGCCACGGAAGAGUUGAAAUAUUAUAAGGACAAUGUUGAUCCAGCGGACAUGACUCCUUUGAAGAAGCCAACCAUAGAGCAUGAUUCGGAUCUGAAGUUCAAAUCGGCAGCUGAGACCAAGCUUGUUGACUUUGUGCCCGGCGAUUCAUCCAAGCAGUUCACUGUCAGUGCCAACUUGGACCCUAAAUAGGAAAGCGCGCUCAUCGAGUUCAUCCGUGAGAAUCGGGACAUUUUUGCAUGGAAACCUUCUGACAUGCCAGGUGUACCGAGGGAACUCGCUGAGCACACUCUUAAUGUGGAUCCUAAGUAUAAACCGGUAAAGCAAUUUCUCCGCCAGUUUAACGAAGAGAGGCGCAAAGCCAUUGGAGAGGAAGUGGCCAGGCUCUUAGCAGCUGGUUUCAUCAUUGAGGUGUUCCAUCCAGAGUGGCUUGCUAAUCCGGUGUUGGUUCUUAAGAAGAACGGCACUUGGCGUAUGUGUGUGGAUUACACGGAUCUUAACAGGGCUUGUCCAGCAGAUCCUUUUGCCCUCCCCCGCAUUGACCAGAUCAUUGAUGCCACGGCAGGUUGUGAGCGUUUGAGCUUUGUGGAUGCGUAUUCUGGAUAUCAUCAGAUCAAAAUGGCGGUUAAGGACCAGGAGAAGACAGCGUUUAUUACGCCUUUUGGAGCCUUCUGCUAUGUAUCUAUGCCCUUUGGGCUCAAGAGUGCCCAAGCCACUUAUCAGCGGUGUGUACAGAAUUGCCUGCAUAAACAGAUCGGUCGCAAUGUGCACGCCUAUGUGGAUGAUACUGUGGUCAAGUCAAGGCAGAAGGAGACGCUGGUGGAUGAUUUGAAGGAAACCUUUGACAACUUGCGGGUUUACAAGAUGAUGCUUAACCCGGCCAAGUGUGUCUUUGGUGUUCCGGCAGGCAAGUUACUGGGUUUUCUUGUGUCCAACAGAGGAAUUGAGGCUAAUCCGGAGAAGAUUACGGCUAUCACCUCCCUGGCUAAACAGAAGUGUAUCAAUGAUGUUCAGCGUUUGGCGGGCCGGAUCGCCGCACUGAGCCGGUUUAUCAGCCGCCUUGGAGAGAAGGCUAUUCCUUUGUACCAGAUGCUGAGAAAGACAGAUCAAUUCAUCUAGAGUACGGCUGCUGAUGAAGCAUUGGAGGACUUGAAGCGGCAAUUAGCCCAUCCGCCCGUUCUUGCGGCUCCGGUCGACAAGGAGCCGUUAUUAUUAUACGUAGCGGCCAAUGCUCGGGCAGUUAGUGUGGCUAUUGUGGUGGAGCGCAAGGAGGCAGGCAAGGAAUAUCCGGUUCAGCGGCCGGUGUAUUAUAUCAGCGAGGUGCUUAUUGAAUCCAAGCAAAGGUAUCCGCAUUGGCAGAAGCUGGUAUAUGGAGUUUUCAUGGCAAGCCGGAAGUUGAAGCAGUAUUUUCAAGGGCAUCCCAUCACAGUGGUCAGUUCAGCUCCCUUGGGCGAUAUCAUACAGAACCGGGGGGCGACUGGCCGGAUUGCCAAGUGGGCUAUAGAGCUUGGGCCACACGGAUUGAAGUACGUGCCUCGGACGGCGGUGAAGUCUCAAGCGCUUGUUGAUUUCAUCAAUGAUUGGAUGGAGUUGCAAGCACCAGAGGAGAAGCCGGAUCACACAUAUUGGACUAUUCAUUUUGAUGGAUCCAGGCAAUUGGAAGGCUCGGGGGCUGGAGUCGUAUUAACUUCCCCACGAGGUGAUAAGUUUUGUUAUGUUCUCCGCUUAAUGUUCCCUUGUACUAAUAAUGCAGCUGAGUACGAAGCCUUGCUCCACGGUCUCCGGAUGGCUAAGGAGAUGAACUUAAGCCGAGUUAAGUGCUCCGGUGACUCGGACCUCGUAGCUCAACAAGUGUCUGGCACUUGGGAUUCUAAGGACCCGCUCAUGGCCGCCUAUCGUCGUGAAGUGGAUAAUAUUGCGGGUCACUUCAAGGGUUAUCAAGUGGAUCACGUGGACCGUCAAAAGAAUGAAGCGGCGGACGCUUUAAGCCGUUUGGGCUCUCAGCGCAAACCGGUCCCGCCUAAUGUCUUUCUUGAUGUGUUGCACAACCCGUCAGUCAAGCUCCCAGGUGAAGCGGAUUUGGCUAUUCCUGAUCCGGAGGCCCAAUUGGUGGCAGCUCUGCAUGUCAUUCCGGAUUGGACCUUAUCUUGCGUACAUGAACCGGGGGGAGUUGCCGGAGGAUGAGAUUCUAGCCAGGCAGAUAGUCCGGCGAUCCAAGUCUAUGACGAUUGUCAAUGGUGAAUUGCAUCAUUGCAGUGUAUCAGGGGCGUUUCAACGUUGUGUUUCUCCUGAGGAAGGCUGUGAAAUCUUAAGAGAAAUCCAUGAAGGGGAUUGUGGACACCACGCCGGUUCAAAGUCUCUGGUGGCAAAGGCAUUUCGUCACGGGUUCUACUGGUUGACAGCACAUGCUGAUGCGGAGGACUUGGUUAAACAAUGUGAUGGCUGUCAGAAAUUUUCAAGGCGUGCUCAUGUGCCGGCUCAAGAAUUGAGGAUGAUCCCAAUCACUUGGCCGUUUGCAACUUGGGGGCUGGAUAUGGUCGGACCUUUUAAAAGAUCCAAGGAUAAGAAAACCCACCUUUUAGUGGCAGUUGACAAAUUUACCAAGUGGGUUGAAGCGGAGCCUGUCAGCAAGUGUGAUGCAGCAACAGCGGUGCAGUUCAUCAAAAAGGUGAUUUUCCGAUUUGGCUUUCCACACAGUAUCAUUACUGACAAUGGUACCAAUUUGUCCAAGGGCGCUAUGAAGGAGUUCUGUGAACGUGAGCACAUCCGACUUGACGUAUCGUCAGUGGCUCACCCCCAGUCCAAUGGACAGGCAGAACGGGCUAAUCAAGAGAUCUUGCGAGGCAUCAAACCCCGGCUUAUGGUUCCAUUGCAAAGAACACCAGGAUGUUGGGUUGAAGAGCUACCAUCUGUGCUAUGGAGUAUCAAUACUACGCCCAAUCGAUCCACAUGAUACACGCCGUUUUUAUGGUCUACGGAGCGGAGGCAGUUCUCCCUAGUGAUAUCCGGCACGAUUCGCCUCGUGUGGCAGCUUAUGUUGAAGCGGACAAUGAGACAGCACGGCAAGACGCUUUGGACCUAUUGGACGAGGAGCGUGAUAUAGCGGCUGCCCGCUCGGCGAUUUAUCAGCAAGAUCUUCGUUGCUAUCACAGUCGCCGGGUUAGAACCAGAACUUUUCAAGAAGGAGACUUGGUGCUGCGACUCAUCCAAGACCAGACAGAUAUGCACAAGUUAUCCCCACCUUGGGAGGGGCCUUUCGUGGUCAGCAAGAAUCUGCACAACGGCUCAUAUUAUCUGAUUGAUAUUCGAGAGCAUAAAGACUCACGCACAUCAGAGGAGGAGACCAACAGGCCGUGGAACAUAGCUCAUCUUCGGCCUUACUACACAUGAGCCAUUGGCUCUAUCUAUGUACAUAUUAUGACAGUGUAUAUAUUAUCUUUGAUAUAAUAAAACUGGAGCCUCAGCUAAAGCGGGGUCUCUGUCCUUUCUUAUCAUGCGUGGUUACAUGGAGUGGUUCUAUUUUAAAGCGGCCUCCGGUUUACCCCUUGAAAUUUGCUUUUUUAUAUCACUUGGGGCCUUGGUCGUGUCCGAACCAACACAACACCUUUUGAUAGGCGAAAGCCACCAGAUCACUUGGGGACAUGGUCAAGUCUGAACCAGUCACGCCUCUUGAUCGGCCUAAGGCCACAAAAUCACUUAGGGGCUUGGUCGAACCCGAACCAUUGCCACGCCUUUUGAUUGGCAUAUAUGCCAUGGUUUCAUUUGGGGACCUGGCUGACUUGAACCAUUGUCACUCCUAUUGGGGGCUUGGUCCUGUCCGACCAUGGUAACACCAUAUGAUCAGCUCAGUAUAGCAUCUCUUUUGCAAACGGUUUUUAUCAUUGCCUUUGUUUCCAUAUUUCUUUUAUGGCUAUUUCUUAAUUUUCGUUGUGUUUCCUUUAAACCAACAACAUUUUUCGCUGGUUCAGCUGAUGGAUUCGGUUCAUUUUUAAUCCGGAGCAAUAUGCCCGGUUUACCCUUCCUGUUAACAUCAUGGAGUAACAGGGGGGCUUAUAACGACCCAGCACGGUCUAUAUGGGAGCUGCUUUCUCCCCCUUUGACGGUAAUGGUUUAUUAAACCUCCGCUUUAAGCAUGGUUAAGCCAGCUUUCAUGCCCAGUUAUGGCAGGUACUUUGUAUCGCCUAUUUUGUUAUAUGUUUUGAAUACAUUGCUGAUAUGUAUAUAUCCAGAUCAUAAACCGGCUGGCGGUAUAACCGCCACCGAAGUCCAAGUUUUUCUGAUUGCAGGCAAUAAAAAUUGAGGUUUUUCAAGCAAAAGCGUCAGUACUUAUGCGCGAAGGCAUAUUCAAGGCAGAAGUAUUAACUAUCCUAUUACAAGGCAACACGGUGCCCAAAUAAGAUCAUUGUUAUUUCGGAAGGCUGCCAAAUACAGCUAUCUAAACCGGCCUCCGGUUCAAGCCUGCUCCUCGUCCUGUGCCGCUUCAGCUUCCUCGUCUCUAUCCAUUGGCUGGAAAUCAACAGUGGUCCAGUCGAUUCCCAUUAAAGCUUGGAAAAUAGCCUCUUCAUGGAUUAGAAGACGGUUCAAUAUCAGGAGCAUAAGUAUGCUUACGGAUUGGAGGAAUCAGAUUCUCCGCUUCAAGAGUUGGGGCAGGCACUCGCUUGUUCUGAUCGUUGUAUUGCGCUUGAUAAUGCGUCAAGUCUGCCUCUUCAACUAAUUGACAAGCCAGAGGGCGCACUGCACGGUUUAUUGCCCUCAAAUCAUCUUCACUGAACUCGGAGCCGUCUUCCUUCAGGCUGGGAUAGCCUUGGGCUGCCUCCACAGGAUCGAAAUCUGGCACCCAUGCCUUUGCCCGGAUCAAGGCGUUAAUGGCUCCGGUUCGAGCAACAGAUUUUUUCAGCUCUUCAAUCCGGGCAGGAAGCAUUGACAACCUAUUAGGAAUAUCCUGAAUUAUAGAGGGUGCUGGAUUGUUAUGAGAAGCUGUGGUGAUAAUCCGCUGCGCGUAUACAAUUGUUCCACUAACGUGUAGGCAGCCUUCAGCUUCUUUCGCACAUCUGACCCUAAGUGCCCAAUGCGUGUACCUGUAACAAUGCAGGGCCAGUCUCAAACCGGAUUUAUUAUAAGCAGGACAGAAUUGUCAAGAAAGCCAAAAAGAGCUUACCAAAGAUAGCAGCGGUCAUGGAGUGUAUUUGCCGUUUUACGGCAGUUAGCUCAUCUACCACCGGUUUAAGGGCAGCUUCAGCAUUUUCCACUCUUUUUAUUAAAGCGGCCUUUUUAGUGGCCCAAUCAGCCCGCUCCUUCUUGAAGCCCUCUUUCAGCUGCUCUGUGAUGCUCAACGCGCUGGUCAAUUCCUCCCUUGCUUUAUCAGUUUCGGUUUGUUGGGUCUUCAGAGUUUCUUGCAGAUCAGUAAUCCGGUCCUCUUUGACCCUCACUUCAGCCUGCAUAAAGACAGUAUUUGGCUUUAAACACAGCGGUACAAGAAUUUGAAGUAUCAAUCACAUAACAAGUUAUACGCUUGAUACUUGGGGGCUAAUGUACCUUCAAUUUUCAUCUAUCACUAAUUUUCAAAGUCCCAAGCUCAAUACAGGUAUUCAACUUGGCACUUGGGGGCUAAUGGCUAUUUGCUCAAUUAUGUUCUGAUGUGGCAAUCUUUAUUCGAGACCCGGUUUAACUAUGCUAAUUUGAACCGGCCCUUGGGGGCUAUAUUGACUGAUUUCAAAGUACUGAGGAUUGUGUUCAAGUCCCGGUUUGAAGAAGGUUACAAACCGGCCCUUGGGGGCAAGGAGGAUUAAUAGUGGCAGUAAGUAAAGAAAGAAGAAGCACAAGGUAGUUACCUCAAAUUUGUCUCUCAUCAUCUUUACCAGGCCAGCUUCACAAUCACGGCUAGUAUAUAACCGGUUCAAGUAACUAGAAUGCAGAUCUUGGGCACUCAGAGCAGCAUAUGUUUCUAGUUCUACAUCCCAUUUGCCUUUGUUCUUGGCAGAAAAAUCCUCUUUCACUGUAUGCUUGGUUAAAGCAACAGGAUUCCGUGGUUCAAAGCGACCUACGCCAGUAAUUACAACAUCAUCAUCCUUAGAUUCACCGGUUUGCGUUGGUGCGGUCGGGUUAUCAGCAGGACUGCGGGAUUUUUCAAUCCGGACGGAGCUGGCAGGCGGAUCAGCAGAAACUGAGGUAUGGAUAGGCCUUUCCUCUGGAAUAGCAUCGUCUUGCAAAGGAGGAUCAUUGGGAAUAUCCUCAUGAGCAAACGCUUCAAGAUCUGGCGCUUUAUCCUGUUCUGGGGCGACAUCUUCUUCAGCAGCUUUGUCCAGGCGGGCCUUCUUGCUCGGUUUAGGUUUAGCCCUGAAAGGAAAAUAAAGAGUCAAGGAACAGUAUAAGUUAUUACACGGUAUACCGGAAGCAUAUGUUCAGCCUAGCUUACCCAAGAACCGUUUUCAGUGGCGGCAGCUGAGUGGCGGACGAUUCACCAGAGGAUGAAUGUGAAGUAACCUGAUAAUCGGAGUCGGACGGAUUAAGAGGCUGACGGAAGAAACCCGCUUUAGGAUAUAAAUCAAUAAAAAGGUCGGAGACAUCGGAGCGGCGUUUUCAAACCGGACUGUUUGGUAAACUGGUGGAGGUAACUACCUGGCCACUGUGCUGGGUUGUGCGGCGAGCUUCAUGUUGCUGAGUCUUCAUAAGAAAUUUGGGAUCCAAGUAAGCAAGAGGAUGAGAAAAUUUAACUUUCCGGUUUGCCUGGCGAAAUUUUGGCAAUGGCAAGAUUUCUGAAUCGGAAGAGAGAAUAGUUACCUCAGCGACUUCAGCAUUGCUGGCUUCAGCAUCGUCCUGACAAGCAUCAUCAUCAAUAAGGCGUGUAAAAAGUAAGCCUAGUGAAUCAAGUUCUACCUCAAGGUCCGGGUUACCCACAUCAUCAUCAAUAGCUGGAUCAGAGGAAGCGGUGGUUUUCCUCUUGUGAGCUGGUUUCUUGAUAACCUUGGUCUUGGGCCGGGUUGACCGCCCUGCUUUCUCUGUUUUGUCUUGUGGAAGCUUCUUGCUCCAAAACGGAUUAUCACCCUGGUUCAGCAGUAAUUAAUGUCAGAAGGAGAAAGCAGUAACAAGUUCAAUAACAGAAUAAUCAAAAUCUUACAGCUGGCGGUUUGUUGGUGGCGCAGUAAGGAAGCAGACCAGUUUGAGCGCAGAGGUGCUCCGGUUCAUUCAACAUCUUCUUCACAGAAUCUGUGACUUCAUCAUCAGAGAGUUGGAUUUUAGUGUGUCGGAGUGGGUCAUCGACACUAUCAGUAUACUUGCACAUCAAACCGGAGCGCCGGCUGAGAGGCAGUAUGCUCCAUGAUAUCCAACAGCGUGCAAGGUCUAUUCCUGUUAAACCGUUGGCCAUAAAGGCUCGGAGCUUGGACAGUUGUGGAGCAUAUUUACUUCUUUCCUUGGCACUUAGUCUUUGUGGAAAGGGGUGAGUGUUGCUGAGCCGCUCCGGAUGGAAGCCAGGCAAGGGAUUUUCAUUGUCAGGGGAGGUGUCUUUGCAAUAAAACCAGGUUGCGUUCCACUCCUUGGGGUGAGUGUGUAGUUUGACGUGGGGAUAAGUGAUCUCUUUCCUCUUCUGAAUGGCCAUACCGCCCAAUUCAGUAUUGGGGCCAUCAGUAAAUUCAGUGCGACGGUUUAAAUGGAAGCAGUCUCUAAACAACUCGACUGAAGGCUCCUCUUGAAGGUAUACCUCAGAGAGCACUUGAAAGUGACAUAGAUUGGUAACGGAAUUGGGGCCAAUAUCCUGUGGACGGAGCUGAAAAUUGGCUAACACAUCGCGGUAAAAUUUAGAACCAGGCGGUUUGAAGCCCCGGGCCAAGUGAUCUGCAAAGACCACAACUUCUCCCUCUUGAGGUGUGGGAGGACAUUCAUUUCCAGGAACCCUCCAGUGGAUCGUAUCUUUGUUGUCUAAAGCGCCGAUCAGGACCAAAUCAUCCAACUGAGAUUCCGUUACGCGAGAAGGAACCCAAUUGCACUCAUAUACUUGUUUGGCCAUGGUGAGAUCUACAAGAAAUAGGUGAUUCCGGUUCAAGAAUGUGUUGGAUAAAAGAAGGUGCUGGUCUGAACAACGCUAAGCCGGAGGCAGUACAUAUAAACCAGAUUUCUACGAUGCGGCAUCAUAUGGAUUCUGGCGGUUCAACAAGGGGACAAAUGGUAUAUACCGGUUUACUAACUUUUUCUAUGUUAAGUUAAACCGCCUGAUCUAAACGUCGAAAGCAAUCGAAGUUGUGGAUGGCUAAGUAUGCAAAAACAGGUUUCACAAGAUCCUAUUACAGCAGUGGAUCUACAGCAAGCUCAGAAAAACAGAAAAUAUUCAGAAGAGUGAGGCAGAACGGAAGUGAACCAUUGAGCGGAUAUGUACGUGAGAUCUAUGGACUUAGAUGAGAAAUUACAGGCGGAUGCUAAAAGAUUACUACUAAACAGAGCAGGGGUUCACAGAUUUAUUCAAGAGUUAGGGUACGAGUAUGAGCAAGCGACGAACACAGCGCGAACAUGAAACCCUAAGAACAGAUCUAGAUCAAGAAGAUAAGAAGGCUUACCGGAAACGGAGAAGACGCGGAAGGAUACCGCAGUACUCUGGUGCGUUCAGGUUGAUGCAGCGGCCCAAGACGAGGCAGAGGUCGACGGCGGCGGCGGAGCUCCAAGGCUGGCGACGCGAGGAAGACGAAGAAGAAGAGACGAAGGGAAGAAAAGGAAAUGACCCUUCGGUCUUAUUUAUAAGGCAACAGAGUUAGGUCAGGCACGCGAAUCCAGGAGCUAUUGAUAAAGGAGGGCGUCAUAAAUGAUAAACUUCAUGAUGACGUCAUGCCGGUUUACAGCAACCAGAAAUGAUGACGACAUGGCGGUUUACCAAUUACCAGAAGAUGUCCAAGACACAAGAUUUUGGGAAGGAUUGACAUGAACCGGUUCAAAUCAAUCUGGGGCCUAAUGUUGGGGAUAUUACCACUAGGCGUAAACCGGCCUACUUGGGUCGGGUUAACUUCAUUAGUGGUAUAAGCAGAUGAAGGCCCAAGGCCUGUAGUCGAUUUAGAACCUGUAGCCGUAAACCGGCCUAAUGUAUAACUUGUAUUGUAAGUUAGGAAUAGAGAGAUACCAACCGGGAUACGAGUAUGAACCGGUUGGGACUCUAAGGACCAAUGGGCAUCACCCGUAUAUAUAUAAGGGAAUGACCCGGCGGCGGUUCAAGACAGACAACGACAACUCGAGCCUAGGCGAAGCUUGUUUGCUCCCUAGCCAUCGAGACCACAUCAAUUCCAUCACAACUAGACGUAGGCUUUUACCUUCAUCGAAGGGGCCAAACUAGUAUAAACCCUCGUGUCUUUGUGUCCGCUUUAACCCCUUCAAGUUAACCCGUAGUGAUGGCUCCACGACUAAGUCCUUUCACUAGGACAUCUGCCGUGACAAAUCCACGACAGUUAGGCUAUGCUAUUUUCGUCACACAAAGAUGUUCCCAACUUCUAUACCCCCGAUGACAAGCCAAGCAAUUGUUUCAUACUCAAAAUAAUCUCAAACUUUUUCAACCUUCACACAAUACAUGAGCGCGAGCCAUGGAUAUAGCACUAUGGGUGGAAUAGAAUAUGAUGAUGGGGAUUGUGUGGAGAAGACAAAAAAGGAGAAAGUCUCAUAUUGACGAGGCUAAUCAAUGGGCUAUGGAGAUUCCCAUCAAUUGAUGUAAACAUGAGGAGUAGGGAUUGCCAUGGAACGGAUGCACUAGAGCUAAAAGUAUGUGAAAGCUCUACAAAAGAAACUAAGUGGGUGUGCAUCCAACUUGCUUGCUCACGAAGACCUAGGGCAUUUUGAGGAAGCCCAUCAUUGGAAUAUACAAGCCAAGUUCUAUAAUGAAAAAUUCCCACUAGUAUAUGAAAGUGACAAAAUGAGAGACUCUUUAUCAUGAAGAUCUUGGUGCUACUUUGAAGCACAAGUGUGGUAAAAGGAUAGUAGCAUUGUCCCUUCUCUCUUUUUCUCUCAUUUUUCUCUCUUUUUUUCUUUUGGGCCUUUCUCCUUUUUUUGGCCUUGCUUUUUUUCUUUUCUUUUUUUAUUUUUUUUCGUCCGAAGUCUCAUCCCGACUUAUGGGGGAAUCAUAGUCUCCAUCAUCAUUUUCUCACUUGGGACAAUGCUCUAAUAAUGAUGAUCAUCACACUUUUAUAUUUUUCUUACAACUCAACAAUUACAACUCGAAACUUAGAACAAAAUAUGACUCUAUAUGAAUGCCUCCGGCUGUGUACCGGGAUGGUGCAAUGAAUCAAGAGUGACAUGUAUGGAAAAUAAUGCAUGGUGGCUUUGCCACAAAUACGAUGUCAACUACAUGAUUAUGCAAUGGCAAUAUGACAAAAGUAAUGUAUGACAUAAUAAUGAUGAUGGAAGUUGCAUGACAAUAUAUCUCGGAAUGUCUAUGGAAAUGCCAUGAUAGGUAGGUAUGGUGGUUGUUUUGAGGAAGAUAUAAGGAGGUUUAUGUGUGAUAGAGCGUAUCGUAUCACGAGGUUUACAUGCACCGGCGAAGUUUGCACCAACUCUCAAGGUGAGAAAGGGCAAUGCACGGUACCGAAGAGGCUAGCCAAGGUGGAAAUGUUAGAGUGCGUAUAAUCCAUGGACUCAACAUUAGUCAAAAGAACGCAUAUACUUAUUGCAAAAAUUUAGAAGCCAUCAAAAAUCAAGUACUACGCGCAUGCUCCUAGGGGGAUAGAUUGGUAGGAAAAGACCAUCGCUCGUCCCCGACCGCCACUCAUAAGGAUGCACAAGCCAGGUACACUUCAUGUUUCAAAUUUGUUACACAACUUUAACCAUACGUGCAUGCUACGGGACUUGCAAACUUCAACACAAGUAUUUAUCAAAUUCACAAUUAUCAACUAGCACGACUUUGAUAUUAUCACCUCCAUAUCUCAAAACAAUUAUCAAGCAUCAAACUUAUCUUAGUAUUCAAUUCACUCAAAAGAAAGUUUCACAUAUCUUGAACACUAAGUAUAUUAACAUUAAGCAAAUUACCAUGCUAUUAACGACUCUCAAAAUAAUAUAAGUGAAGCAUGAGAGAUCAAUAGUUUCUUUAAAACAAAUCCACCACUGUGCUCUAAAAGAUAUAAGUGAAGCACUAGAGCAAAAAUUAUCACACUCAAAAGAUAUAAGUGAAGCACUAUGAGCAAAACUAUCAAGCUCAAAAGAUAUAAGUGAAGCACAUAGAGUAUUCUAACAAAUUCCAAAUCAUGUAUGGCUCUCUCAAAAGAUGUGUACAGCAAGGAUGAUUGUGGUAAACUAACAAGCGAAGACACAAAUAAUACAAGACGCUCCAAGAAAAACACAUAUCAUGUGGUGAAUAAAAAUAUAGCUCCAAGUAAAUUACCGAUGGAAGUGGACGAAAGAGGGGAUGCCUUCCGGGGCAUCCCCAAGCUUUGAAUUUUUGAUGUCCUUGGAUUAUCUUGGGGGUGCCAUGGGCAUCCCCAAUCUUAGGCUCUUGCCACUCCUUAUUCCAUAAUCCAUCAAAAGAAUUCACACAAAACUUGAAAACUUCACAACACAAAACUCAACAGAAAUCUCGUGAGCUCCGUUAGAGAAAGAAAACAAAAGACUACUUCAAGUUACUGUAAUGAACUCAUUAUUUAUUUAUAUUGGUGUUAAACCUACUGUAUUCCAACUUCUCUAUGGAUUAUAAACUAUUUUACUAGCCAUAGAUUCAUCAAAAUAAGCAAACAACACACGAAAAACAGAAUCUGUCAAAAAUAGAACAGUCUCUAGCAAUCUGUAACUAACGCAAACUUCUGGAACUCUAAAAUUCUACCAAAAUAGGAGGUCCUGGAAAAUUUGUUUAUUUAACAUCAGCAAAAAUAAUCAACGCAAAAUCACGUUCCUGUGAUUUAACAAAAUUAUAUUCGUGCGCGCAAAGUUUCUGUUUUUCAGCAGAAUCAAAUCAACUAUCAUCGUAGGUUAUCCUAUAGGUGCUACUUGGCACAAACACUAAUUAAAAGAUAAAACCACAUCUAACAGAAGUUAGAUGGAUUAUUUAUUCCUAAACAGAAUAAAAACAAAAAACACAAAAUAAAAUUGGUUUGCCUCCCAACAAGCGCUAUCGUUUAACGCCCCUAGCUAGGCAUAAAAACAAGGAUAGAUCUAGGUAUUGCCAUCUUUGGUAGGCAAUCCAUAAGUGGCUCUCAUGAUAGAUUCAUAUGGUAAUUUUAUUUUCUUUCUAGGGAAGUGUUCCAUGCCCUUCUUUAAGGGAAAUUGGAAUCGAAUAUUCCCUUCCUUCAUAUCAAUAAUUGCACCAAUUGUUCUAAGGAAAGGUCUACCAAGAAUAAUAGGACAUGAAGGAUUGCAAUCUAUAUCAAGAACGAUAAAAUCUACGGGCACAUAAUUCCUAUUUGCAACAAUAAGAACAUCAUUAAUUCUUCCCAUAGGUUUUUUAAUAGUGGAAUCCGCAAGAUGCAAGUUUAGAGAGCAAUCAUCAAAAUCAUGGAAAUCUAGCAAAUCACAUAAAGUUUUGGGAAUAGUAGAGACACUAGCACCCAAAUCACACAAAGCAUGAAACUCAUAAUCUUUAAUUUUAAUUUUAGUAGUAGGUUCCCACUCAUCAUAGAGUUUUCUAGGGAUUGAAACUUUCAACUCAAGUUUCUCUUCGUAAGAUUGCAUCAAAGCAUCAACAAUGUGUUCGGUAAAGGCCUUAUUUUGACUAUAAGCAUGAGGAGAAUCUAGCACGGAUUGCAACAAGGAAAUACAACCAAUCAAAGAGCAAUUUUCAUAAUUAAAUUCCUUGAGAUCCAAAAUAGUGGGUUUAGCAACAUCACGGUUUUUAUUUAUUUCAAUCCCACUAUCAUCAAAUUCAUCAUCAAGAUCUAGAAACUCCGAAUUCUUAAAACGCCUUCUAGGUAAAGGAAAAUAAUCUUCAGUUUCAUCAAGAUUCAUAUUGCAAAACAAAGAUUUAAUGGGGGACACAUCAAUAACUUUUAGAUUUUCAUCCUGAUUUUCAUAGGAAUUCGAAGAACACGCUUUAAUAAAGGCAUCUUUGGAAGCAUGCAUCCUAGCGGUUCUUUCCUUGCACUCAUCAAUGGAAAUUCUCAUGGCUUGGAGAGACUCAUUGAUAUCAUGCUUAGGAGGAAUAGAUCUAAGCUUUAAAGAAUCAAUUUCAAGAGAAAUUCUAUCAACGUUCCUAGUCAAAUCAUCAACUUUAAGCAAUUUCUCUUCAAGCAAAGCAUUAAAAUUCUUUUGUGAAUUCAUAAACUAUUUAACACUACUCUCAAAUUCAGAGGGAAUCUUAUUAAAAUUUCCAUAAGAUUUGUUGUAGGAAUUUCCAUAAUUAUUAGAAGGAUUACUAGUAUAAGGCCUAGGAUUAAAAUUCCCUCUAUAAGCAUUGUUUCCAAAACUAUUCCUACCAACAAAAUUCACAUCCGUAGAUUCAUUAUUAUUCUCAAGCAAGGUAGACAAAGGCAUAUCAUAGGGAUCAAGAGGAGUAUUUUUAGGAGCAAACAUCUUCAUAAGUUCAUCCAUCUUUUCACUCAAAACAUUGAUUUCUUCUAUAGCAUGCACUUUUUUACUAGAAGAUCUUUCGGUGUGCCAUUGAGAAUAAUUAGACAUAAUAUUAUCAAGCAAUUUGGUAGCAUCUCCUAACGUAAUUUCCAUAAAAGUGCCUCCCGUGGCCGAAUCUAAAAGAUUUCUAGAAGCAAAAUUCAAUCCGGCAUAAAAUUUUUGUAUAAUCAUCCAUAAAUUCAAACCAUGAGUAGGGCAAUUGCGAAGCAUUAAUUUCAUUCUUUCCCAAGAUUGGGCAACAUGCUCAUGAUCAAGUUGUUUAAAAUUCAUGAUGUCGUUCCUAAGAGUGAUAAUCUUAGCGGGAGGAAAAUACUUAGAGAUAAAAGCAUCUUUGCACUUGUUCCAAGAAUCAAUACUAUUUUUAGGCAAAGACGAAAACCAAACUUUAGCACAAUCUCUAAGUGAAAACGGAAAUAACUUCAAUUUGACAAUAUUGUUAUCCGUAUCUUUCUUCUUUUGCAUAUCACAUAAAUCAACUAAAUUGUUUAGACGAGUAGCGGCAUCUUCACUAGGAAGGCCGACGAAUUGAUCUUUCAUAACAAGAUUCAGCAAAGCGGUAUUGAUUUCACAAGACUCAUCAUUAUUAAGAGGAGCAAUCGGAGUACUAAGGAAAUCAUUAUUAUUGGUAUUCAAGAAAUCACACAAUUUGGUAUUAUCUUGCGCCAUGGCAACAAGUAAUCCAACACACAAGCAAACAGAAAGGCAACGAGAAAAAGGCAAACGGAAAAGAGAGGAUGAGAUUGGGAAAGAGAGGGCAAAUAAAACGGCAAGGGUGAAGUGGGGGAGAGGAAAACGAGAGGCAAAUGGCAAAUAAUGUAAUGCGAGAGAUAGGGAUUGCGAUGGGUACUUGGUAUAGUUGACUUGCUUGCGUGAGCCUCCCCGGCAACGGCGCCAGAAAUUCUUCUUGCUACCUCUUGAGCACUGCGUUGGAUUUCCCCAAAGAGGAGAGGAUGAUGCAGCAAAGUAGCAUAAGUAUUUCCCUCAGUUUUUGAGAACCAAGGUAUCAAUCCAGUAGGACACCACGCACAAGUCCCUCGUACCUACACAAAACGAUAGCAACUCGCAACCAAUGCGACUAGGGGUUGUCAAUCCCUUCUCGGUCACUUACGAAAGUGAGAUCUGAUAGAGAUGAUAAAUAAUAUUUUUGGUAUUUUUGAUAGAUAGAUGCAAAGUAAAAAAGUAAAAGGCAAAGUAAAAACAAGGCAAGUAAAUGAAGUGACAGAGAUUGAUAUGAUGAGAAUAGACCCGGGGGCCAUAGGUUUCACUAGUGGCUUCUCUCAAGAGCAUAGAUUUCCUACGGUGGGUGAACAAAUUACUGUUGAGCAAUUGACAUAAUUGAGCAUAGUUAUGAGUAUAUCUAGGCAAUGAUCAUGUAUAUAGGCAUCACGUCCAAAACAAGUAGAUCAAAACGAUUCUGCAUCUACUACGAUUACUCCACUCAUCGACCGCUAUCCAUCAUGCAUCUAGAGUAUUAAGUUAAAAACAGAGUAACGCCUUAAGCAAGAUGACAUGAUGUAGAGGGAUAAAUUCAUGCAAUAUGAUAAAAACCCCAUCUUGUUAUCCUUGAUGGCAACAAUAGAAUACGUGCCUUGCAACCCUUUCUGUCACUGGGUAAGGACACCGCAAGAUUGAACCCAAAGCUAAGCACUUCUCCCAUUGCAAGAACUACCAAUCUAGUUGGCCAAACCAAAAAGGAUAAUUCGAAGAGACUUGCAAAGAUAACUCAAUCAUACAUAAAAGAAUUCAGAGAAGAAUCAAAUAUUUUCCAUAGAUAAUACUGGAUCAUAAACCCACAAUUCAUCGGUCUCAACAAACACACCCCAAAAAGAAGAUUACAUCGAAUAGAUCUCCACGAGAGAGGGGGAGAACAUUGUAUUGAGAUCCAAAAAGAGAGAAGAAGCCAUCUAGCUACUAGCUAUGGACCCGAAGGUCUGAAGUAAACUACUCACACUUCAUCGGAGGGGCUAUGGUGAUGAUGUAGAAGCCCUCCGUGGUGGAUGCCCCCUCCGGCGGAGCUCCGGAACAGGCCCCAAGAUGGGAUCUCGUGGAUACAGAAGGUUGCGGCGGUGGAAUUAGGUUUUUUGCUCCUGUUCUGAUCGUUUGGGGAUACAUAGGUAUAUAUAGGAGGAAGGAGUACGUCGGUGGAGCGUCAGGGGGCCCACGAGGUAGGGGGCGCGCCCAGGGGGGCGCCCUCCACCCUCGUGGCGGCCUCUGGCACUGCUUGGAGUAGGGUCCAAGUCUCCUGGAUCACGUUCGGUUGGAAAAUCACAUUCCCGAAGGUUUCAUUCCGUUUGGACUCCGUUUGAUAUUCCGUUUCUUCGAAACACUGAAAUAGGCAAAAACAGCAAUUCUGGGUUGGGCCUCCGGUUAAUAGGUUAGUCCCAAAAGUAACAUAAAAGUGGAAAAUAAAGCCCAAUAUAGUCCAAAACAGUAGAUAAAGUAGCAUGGAGCAAUCAAAAAUUAUAGAUACGUUGGAGACGUAUCAACAACGCCUGCGACUUCAUCCACGCUCCGGUCCCAUGAGUCGAGUCGAAAGUAGUGAUGCUAUUUGUAGUUCUGAAACAUCGAUUAGCUCAUGUUGUAAUUAUACUUUAAUGAACUUGUAUGUCUCUUUGGUUUGGACAGCCGUUCAACUUAGAUGUAAUUGAUGCUAUUUAUUAGUAGGACCAUGAAUCAUGUUAUUAAUGUCUUGCUUUUCUCUUCUGAUCCUUUUGUUGCAUACUUAUAUGUUGCUUAUGUAUUGUCUGUUGUUUGGCUUGUGCAUAGAGAUGCCGUCAUAUGUCGUGUACAAGGGUAAGGUUCCCGGAAUCUACGACGACUGGGAGGAGUGUCAGAGACAGGUUCACCGUUUCAGUAGUAACAGUUACAAAGGGUACACCACUAGGGCGGAGGCGGAAUCUAAAUACGCCCGCUAUCUAGCGGGAGAGAGGAGGGAGCGUUGGAGGAACCGGAUGAAGACCAGUUUCAUCGGGAUGAUGCUCAUUGUGAUGACCGCAGCUCUCUUCUAUGUGAUGGUAGUUUAGAUGAUCGGUAUCGACUUGUAAUGUGAAGACAAACUCGCUACUCACGGUCUCCGAGACUUGUAAUGUUCUGUCUUUGUUCGGUCUUUUGAAUUUGGAGACUAAUAUGAUGAAUUGUAUUCGGAGACUAAUCUUCUAUUGUAUUCGAUGAAUCUGCUGUUGCUGUGUGGUGCUGUCUAUAUUCUGUCCAAUAAUACAUUUUGUAACCUGUGCAAAAAUCAGAAAAGUAAAAAAAAACUAAUAUUCAUACUAAUGGCGCAUCACCACAAAGUGUGCCAUUAGUAUGCCUAAGGAUACUAAUGGCGCAUCACCCUAUAGUGCGCCAUUAGUAUGCCAAAUGAUACUAAUGGCGCAUCAUACCACAGUGCACCAUUAGUAUGCCAAAGCACCUAGGUAAAUAUGGCCCCCUGGGAGGCAUACUAAUGGCACACCGUGGGCUAUACUAAUGGCGCACCUGUGGUGCGCCAUUAGUAUACCAGAUACUAAUGGCACACCACAGGUGCACAUUAGUAAAAAAUACUAGUGGCGCACCAGUAGUGCGCCAUUAGUAGGCAAAACUGGUGCGCCACUAGUAGCCCUUUUCCUAGUAGUGAUCCUUUAUCAAAAAGAAGAAUGGGUGAAAUUCUAGAAAGACAUUGUUAUCAAGGGCAAUGCGAUGAACAGAUAAGAGAGUUUUGGAAGCAUUAGGCACAUGCAAGAUAUCUUUUAUUUCAAGGUUUCUGUAUGGGGUUUUGAUAUAUGAUUGACCAAUAUGACUUAUCUCCAUACCUGCACCAUUUGCCGCGGUGUACACUUGAUCAUUGCCACAAUACUUCUCAUGAAUUGUUAGCUUCUCCAAUUCACCCUUGAUAUGAUUUGUUGCACCGGUAUCCAUAUACCAGUUGGUAUCGACACCGUAUGACGUAUCAGCUGCAGCAACGAUUUUUUUUUGGGAUGUAUCAUCGGCAUAACGCCAAUCACAGUCCUUAGCAAUAUGGUUAGUUUUUUUGCAGAUUUGACAUUUACCCUCGUAGCCUUCGUAGCCUUGGAAAUUUCGGACCCUGUUGCCGUUGGAGGGGGGGCGCCGGCCAUUGUUGUUGCUGCUGGGGUUCCCCUGGUGAUAGUAGCCGCCGCCACCAUGAUAGGAACUGCCACCGCCGCCGUAGUUGUUCUGGUGGUAGCCUCCAGCGCCACCGUUUGGGUAGCCGCCGCUGCCGCCGCCACCAUAGCCACCUCCAUCGUACCCGCCAGAGCCUCCACUUCCGAAUCCGCCACCGUUAGGGUGGCCACCGCCGCCAUAGCCAAGGCCACCACAAGGACCGCCACCGUUGCCCUUCUGGUUUGGGUUGCCGCGGUAGCCGCCCUUGUUACCUCAUUGUCGCCUGCCGCCGCGGGAGAUGGAUUUUGCAAAAGAUUUAAAGCCGCCGACUCCGUUGCCAUGGAACAUCUCGACCCUCUGGUGGAAGUUGGCCACAAGAGAGAAGAGGGCGUCGAUGGUGGUAGGCUCCGUGCGCACAUCCAGCACGGAGACAAUCGGUUGAUACUCCAUAUAGAGUACAGCAACGAUGAAGGAGAUGAGUUCUCCCUCCUCGAGCGGUCUACCCGCCGCCGCGAGCUCGUCGGAGAGAGACCUCAUGUACCUGAAGUAGGCUGAAGCCAACUGGGAUCCCUUCUGCGCGUUCGUGAGAGAGGCUCGGAUGUUGUUGACGCGAGAUAGGGACACAGCGGCAAACAUGUUCGCCAGUGCGUCCCAGAUUGCAUGUGAUGUCUCAAGGGAGGCGACUUGGAUGAGCACUUCUUUGGAUAGGUUUCGGAGAAGAUAGGCAACUAUUUGCUGAUCUUGAAUAAGCCAUGGGGAGUAGGAAGGAUUUGGGACAACCUGAUCCUUCCCAUCGGCGCUCUUGGUUGUGAUGGUUUUGGAGGGUUCUUGGAUAGUUUGAUCGAGAUAGCCAAAAAGGCCAGCGCCCAUGAUCUGUGAUCAGGCCUGGGCGUGCCAUAGGACAUAGUUGGUACGGGAAAGUGGUUCGGAGGUGUUGUUGUUCAGGCCGGAGAAGAUGGCCGAGCUAGAGGAGGACAUGGUUCCUGGGAUGAUCGGUGGAAGGUAGGUUCUGUCGAUGGAGGAUGGGUAGAAACGAGCUAGGGAUAGGUUUCUGUUGAUGGAGGAUAGAUGGGAACGAGCUAGACGAGGUGGAAGAGUCCUGCUCUGAAUACCAUGUAGAAUAAUGAUUGAAGCGUCUCAAUCACCGUAACAUGGUGACCCGCAUGUAUAUGUAUUGAUAUAACUUGGAGUACAAGAGUUCCGUAUGGUUACAAUUAACCAUACCGGAGAGAUAUACAAGGGAAGGAGAUAAGGAUAGAAUACAAAGAUAAGUUAACUAUCUCCUAACAAUGCCCUUGUAUAAUGCGCUGACGAUAAUAUUGGUUAACAUUGAUGAGCAUGCAACGAUAUUUGAUUUCGACAGUGAAUUGCAGCUUGCAAAGCUUCAGCAAGAUUUCUGACAUCUUAUCCUCGUAUUUUAAAAUUAUCAAAUCGAAUCUCAAUUAAGAACCAAUUCAAAUUCAUAUAAUAAAAGAAUAAGGAAACACUACCUCACCCCUAUUGAUAACCAUUUUGGCCACUACCGUCAAAACAAAUCCUAACCCUAGUUUGAGGAUAGAACUAUGGUAUGGUUUCUCUAAAGUAAAAACAAGACGUAAUAAAAAAGGAUCGACGCGGAAAGUUCCGAUUGAAAUAGGAUCUAAACAAGGAAGAGCACUUGCCAUUCGUUGGUUAUUAGAAGCAUCCCAAAAGCAUCUGGGUCGAAAUAUGGCUUUCAAAUUAAGUUCCGAAUUAGUAGAUGCUGCCAAAGGGAGUGGGGGUGCCAUACGCAAAAAGGAAGCGACUCAUAGAAUGGCAGAGGCAAAUAGAGCUCUUGCACAUUUUCGUUAAUCCAUGAACAGAAUCUAUGUACAUAAUAAAAUCCUGUUAAAAAAUAUUUGUUUGUUGACAAUUUAAAACAAACCUUCCAAGUACUUCAAGAACUUAAAUACUCUUUAGUAGAUGAAAAUAAAAGGAUUUCUAAUUUCGAUAGUAACAUAAUGUUAGAUCCAUUCCUUUUGAAUUGUCACUUUGUCCAUCAUGAUUCUUGGGAAGAGACAUUGGCAAUAAUUCACCUUGGACAAUUUAUUUGUGAAAAUGUAUGUCUAUUUAAAUCGCACAUAAAAAUCCGGUCAAAUUUUCAUUGUAAAUAUCAAAGAAAGGAUUCUUGUCUAUGAGUUCAUGCAAAAUAGUUCCUUGGACCAUUACAUAUCUGGUACAUUUUCCGUAUUAUCAGAGAUAUUUUUCAAGCACACCUCCCUUAAUUCCUAGUAAAUGUGCAUGAAUUCAAAACAUCUACAGUUAAAUGGAAGGCUACAACCGAUCUAGUUUUCACCUGAUUCUUUGUUGCUCGAAUCAUAAAAAAUAUUCUAGUUUGGUUUAGAGAAAUUCAUCAACAGUUGAUAGAAGUUGCAAUUUGAUUAUCUUUUGCAGACAGAACAAAAGGGCAAUUGCUAGACUGGUCUAAGCGAUUCAAGAUAAUUACAGGGUUAACAGAGGGCCUUGUUUACCUGCAUAAAGGUUCCAUGUCCUGCCUUGUCCAUAGAGACUUGAAACCACAUAAUAUCCUCUUGGAUUAUAACAUGAGCCCGAAGAUGACUGAUUUUGGAUCAGCUAGGACACUGAGUUCAGACAUAGCAGAAGGGCGCACAAGUAGGGUCGUGGGAACCUGGUAUCAGCUGCCUACAAUAUUAAUAAUCACAUAUUCCCAUCAUUUGUUUUCAGAUGUUCUAAUCUUACAGUUUUCUGGGAAAACAAUUAAGGGAAUACUGUGGUCAUACUGUCUUCUGGGUGGAAGACUAGUAGGAGGAGAAGACACCACAGCAUAUUUGUCCAACAAAGCUUGAAUCUCAGGUAACUGUUCUCUGUGUUCAGUAACUUCAGUCUAAAAAAUUGCCAUGACAGUGAAAGCACAUUCCUCUGGCAAUUCUCCUUGCAAUGUAACAGUAGGACCCUUACAUUGGAAAGAUAGGCACGCACGCCUAUCUUCUCUUCUCGAGAGGAUGAAAUCGAUUUGGCUAGAGUGUUGGCCACUACUAAAAGUCACCAAAUGUGAUUCUCUCUUUCUAAAGAGGGUGUUAGCUACAAUUAUCAGCUGCCUAGAAUAUUAAUAAUCACAUAUUCCCAUCAUUUGUUUUCAGAUGUUCUAAUCUUACAGUUUUGACAUCUUUUGUUUCACUUUUCAGUGGUUACAAAGCUCCAGAGUAUGCCUCUCGAGGAGUUUACUCGACGAAGACAGAUGUGUUCAGCUUUGGCGUUUUGGUUCUGGUGAUUAUUAGUGGCCAAAAGAAUACCGUACUCGACAAGCGAGUGGAUACUGUUGGUGAUCUUGUACGAGAUGUGAGUGAAAGUACAUUUCAAGCAACACCUUUUCCGUUCUCAAUAUUAGAAAAUGGACUUACUUUAAUUUUCAACUAAAGUAGUGAGUUUUAACCUAUACCAUUGCUUGACAACAGAAGUUGUGAACUUUUCAAAUAGGGCGUGUAAAAGCAAGGCUUAUUUUUUUUAUACCUGGCACACACUACAUGUAAGUUACCUUGCAUUUAUUUAAAAUCAAAUGUAUUAUAUAUUUCAGGCCUGUCAUAUGUGGAAGGACCAAAGGUUGCAUGAGCUUGUGGAUCCGUUGUUAGGGGACAGAUAUGAAGUCGCUGAGAUAACGAGAUGCGCUCAAGUGGCACUGCUUUGUGCCCAGGAAGAUCCAGCAGAUCGGCCCGCCAUGACAGAUGUUGCUGCAAUGCUGAACUCUGAAAGCAUAAGCUUACCAAUGGAGCCUAAGCAGCCUGCUGCGCUGAUCCAUGGGUGUGCCAACAGAGGCACGACAUCGACAUACAUGGGCCAAUCAAGCAGUACAAUAGAAGUAACCAUAACGAGUUCAGCUCCAAUGUAGACCAGAGUUCAAAUCAUUCUUGACCCGGAGGUUUGAUAUAAUGGAGAACAUUCAGUAGCAUAUAUACAGUAAAAAUGUAAGCGAGGAUUAUGGGCUUUUACGGCGCAGGUAGUGUACGUAUUCGAGAUAUCAAGACCAUUUUUGUGGAGUGAAAAUAAACAUGUGUGUGGUUGGUACCAGCUACCAGACUGAUUUCCCAUCGGCUACAUUGUAAUUCAAACGAAUAAUGUUUCAUGUUUUUGUGCUGCUACUCAGCCAGUUCUUAGUGACGUUUAGCCAGGUUUGCCCAUGUUUGGGAACAACUUUUGCAAACCAAAACUGAUACUUGGCCGGCACAUUCAAUUUGAGUUAAGAUCUGCAGCUCCACACACUAGGGACACAUCAGGAUCUCAAAAUAAGCGUUGUUCAAGAUUUAAAAAAAUAUGUUCUGAAUGCACUAUGCUGGUUAAGAUGUUUAACUCUGAACUGAAGGCCUGAAAGUUAACAAAGCAUAAAGAAAACAAUGCUACAAGCAGGCAUUCUUCUGGGCUCUAUGCAAGGAGAAGUCAUUUGUGCUUUCUCUGAGGCGUUGGAAAGAUGCCAGUUUUAGCUAUGCAUGCCUGGGCCGACUCGGAUUCAAAAACGAAAGUGCGCGUUUUAGCUACGCCUGGGCCGACUUCGACUCGGAUUCAAAUUGCUUGCCGCGUCUUUCUUUCUUGCUCGCCGUGUUUCCCCAAUUCCCGAUCCAUCUGACCUCGCCCUCCGAUCAGCCUCCCUCGAUCCAUCUUCCUCUCUCUCCCAACGCCGGAUCAACUCCGCGGCCGCGACCAUGGCCGGCACCACGGUGCACCCGCGACGUAGCGCCGCCACCGCCGACCUGCACUCCUGCUCCUCCCGCGUGCGCGUAAACCCAGCCCUGAUGGCGAACCCUGUGGCGGCUGCCAAGAGGCCAAAGCGUCUAGGAUCCGUGCGCGACGUGCAACCGCCGCCGGCGAAGCGCGUUCGCGGUGCCUGCUCCGGGGGCGAGCUCCAUGUCGCCGUCCCCGCCAACAUCAAGAACGGCAGCAAGCUUCCGUCUCCCAGCAGCGGCAAGGAUCCGCUCCACUCCUCCGCGAUCAAGAACCACGUCUCUGAAUCUCCGGAGAGCACUACGCAAUCGAAGCCGCCGAUCAGCAUGCGCCAACUGAUUGAGAAGGCUCGCCUCACCAUGGCUCUCCUCGACAAGGCUCGCUCUGCCUCCAAAGAAGAGGCCAGCCGUCGGCAGGACAUCGAGCGCAGCCGAGCGGAGGCCCGGCGAAAGGUGGAGCAGAUGGCGGACACCGUGCAGUUCAACGACCCCUGGAUCCAUUACUCCGACGUGACAAAGUCCCCUGAGGAGCUGCUCCAAGCAAGACAGCAAGCAUGGCGUUAUCAAGCUCACCUCCUCGAGAUGGCUCGUCGACGGGACUUUGCUCAAGCGAUGCAAAUGCUCCCGGCUUCCAAGGCUGCCAAUGCUGCUGCGCCUGUGAAGAAGGUCUCUCGUCAGGUCGCUUCCAACUUUCCAAGGCCUCUCACUGCUGCUGCGCCCGGUGUGAAGAAGAUGACUCCAGCAGCUUCAACUCUGCGCGCAAGAAGGGGGAUGGGGGAGCUCAGCUGCAAGAUUCCGAAGCAAAACCGUGUCACCGCUGCAGCACCAAGGAAGCAACCAAUUCCUUGGCUGCGUCCAGUGGUAUUACGCCUUCCCUAGUCUUUUAGUUGCUUCCUAAACCAUGCACACAUGAGUUUCAUUUAACCUUUGCAUCUCUAGGUUCUGCACUUAAUCACCAAGAUUUCUAGUGUUCUUUGAAUCCCUUUCAGUCAUUACUAAUUUUACAAGGGUGUCAGCAGAGUUUCCAUCUAGCUAGGCAGCAAAAAUCUUGCUAAGAUGUGUACGGCAUAGUUACACUACAUCCAUACUUGGUCCUAAGUUAAGGGUUUAAGUAAAUAAAGGGCAUUUUCAAUAAAUCAAAGUAAAGCAGAUGAGCCUAAAAAGGAAACUCAUGUACUGCAAUUCCGGCACCUCGCCGCAAAAUCCAAAACGCCCGUUUGCUACCCGGCUUGUAGCAGGAAAAAGGAGUAGAAUUGAACUUGUCGAUACACACGUAAUCAUGUGAGCUGCCUAGCGUUUGGAGACUAUGCUGACUCUCUUGUAAAAUUAAUCUUGGCUGAAUUGGAUUCUUAGGCAUUGGCGUCUUGGUGAGUUAAAGUUGCAGUUUCCGACGAGUAACAUUGGUUAGUGAACUCUUGUGUGUAUGUGUGGGUGAAGCUUUGAGCUAAGCAAGUCCUCA